AUGUUUGUAUUAUACUAAUAAUUGAAAUAGGAAAAGACCUCCAAUUACGUGUCUUCUCCGUUGGAGCACAAGAAUUUUUAUCCAAUUUAACCGAAAAAAUAAAAAUCAAAAAUCAAAGCAUCUUCUUUUGGGAUUAUUGCAGUAAUCUACAGAUCCGAUUUCCGUUAAACCGCUCAAAAUCCUGCCAAUUAUAAUUUCACCAGCUUUCAAGGGUAAGAAAUUCUCCUUCGAUAAUUCUUCAAUUUUUCAGGCGUUGAAUUUCGUGUUGAGUUUGCGAUUUAAAUUCUUUAUUCGAAAUUGCAGUGCUUAGGGUUUAAGAUUUUUUUCCCCUACGGUAAUCUAUGUUGGUCUCAGUUUUAAAGAUUGGUAAAUUUUCUUUAAGAAAUCUAUUACUCUCUUAUUUUUCAUACGUAAAAUAUUGUUUAAGAGAGGACGGAAGGAUUGGAUCCAAGAUCGGGCUACAAAAUUUAAAAUCGAGCUACCAUGCGGAAAAAUAAUUUUAACCAUAAAAAACUGGUUUUUUUACCAAAAACAAAAAGCAAAAAAUACCUUAAAAAAAGCUCUUGGGCCUGAGUUGGGGGGGGGGGGGGGUAACNNNNNNNNNNNNNNNNNNNNNNNNNNNNNNNNNNNNNNNNNNNNNNNNNNNNNNNNNNNNNNNNNNNNNNNNNNNNNNNNNNNNNNNNNNNNNNNNNNNNNNNNNNNNNNNNNNNNNNNNNNNNNNNNNNNNNNNNNNNNNNNNNNNNNNNNNNNNNNNNNNNNNNNNNNNNNNNNNNNNNNNNNNNNNNNNNNNNNNNNNNNNNNNNNNNNNNNNNNNNNNNNNNNNNNNNNNNNNNNNNNNNNNNNNNNNNNNNNNNNNNNNNNNNNNNNNNNNNNNNNNNNNNNNNNNNNNNNNNNNNNNNNNNNNNNNNNNNNNNNNNNNNNNNNNNNNNNNNNNNNNNNNNNNNNNNNNNNNNNNNNNNNNNNNNNNNNNNNNNNNNNNNNNNNNNNNNNNNNNNNNNNNNNNNNNNNNNNNNNNNNNNNNNNNNNNNNNNNNNNNNNNNNNNNNNNNNNNNNNNNNNNNNNNNNNNNNNNNNNNNNNNNNNNNNNNNNNNNNNNNNNNNNNNNNNNNNNNNNNNNNNNNNNNNNNNNNNNNNNNNNNNNNNNNNNNNNNNNNNNNNNNNNNNNNNNNNNNNNNNNNNNNNNNNNNNNNNNNNNNNNNNNNNNNNNNNNNNNNNNNNNNNNNNNNNNNNNNNNNNNNNNNNNNNNNNNNNNNNNNNNNNNNNNNNNNNNNNNNNNNNNNNNNNNNNNNNNNNNNNNNNNNNNNNNNNNNNNNNNNNNNNNNNNNNNNNNNNNNNNNGGGGGGGGGGGGGUUACAGCCUAGCUCAGCCCCUCCUUAAAUACGUCUCUGGUUUAAGAUGUAUAUAAUCAAACCGUUUAGCUGCUUCUUUAUUAUUAUUAUUAUUAUUAUUAUUAUUAUUAUUAUUUGCCCGUCUGCUCUUAAUGGGUCUUGUUGGCAAAAAUAAAAUGAAUAUAGUAAUGAAUUCAAAUAAUUAACUAGUUCGAGGUGUGCAAGCACUGUCCUUAAGGAUAAUUCUAGUAAAAUCGGCUAUCCCCCAGGAUUCAACGAACUCUUCCUCAAGUGAGAGGGUGACAGGAACAACAAAGUUCAAAUAAGAUUAUAGACCCAUUGUAAAUACUAAUUGAAACAUGUUGGACAUGUGGCUCAUAUAGAGCGGAACACAGGUCCUGGGCACAGGGGUAUUUUUUGUACGGGCUUUAAAGUCUUAUCCCCUAGGUUAGAGUUAGUAUAAAUAAUAUGUUAUAACCCUAUUUUUCACUACUGAAUGAAAUCAUCUCCGCUUCGCUCUCGUGGACGUAGGUACACUGCCGAACCACGUAAAAUUCUUGUGUUGAUUUUCUUUUUCAUCUAUUUAAUAUUGCGCAUAAAAUCCAACAAAUCACAAAAUAAAUUUUUAAGAAAGCUAUGGAGAAAGAAUAAGAGAGAAUAUAUGAAAUGGAGAUGAGAUGUGUGUAAAAUGAGUGAAUAAGUGGCUGUAUUUAUAGGCCUCAAGGUAACCACUUUUGCAAUUAUCGUGGCCAAUAUCAGUAAACUGUAAGCCAUAUCUUGCAGAUUUUGUGCAACCAACAGGCAACAAUUAAACGUGCAUAUCAAGACUUGGUCAAUUGGCUGUUGGAAAUAACAGUCAACUCAAAUGUGGUCAAAUAUAAUCUUUUAAAAUAUUUUAUACAACAAUUCCCCACAUAUUUUAAAAGGUUUAUAUUGGGUCUAUACAUAUUGAUGUAAAUGCCUUGAGUUUGGUAUUUUUUGGAUUAUGAACCAGAUCUAGAAAGAAUGGAACUUAACUUACAGAGUUAUUAGUAAAGCUUAUAGCUUCUAUGAACCAACACACUCUUAUUGUAAGUUGAAGGUUUCACCGAUCACAUUACACCACCACAAUUUUUGUUGUUCAAUGCGUUUUGCGCUAAUAGGCCAUGCAUGUGUCUGGUUAUAUGAGUGCUCUAGAGAUUUUAUCUCAUGGAAGCGGCCCCACCCCACUGCAACUUUAUACACCACUUUUAAAGGCUACGGAAUAUAUGAAGAGCUUAGCUCAACCUCACGUUGAAUUGCAGUUAAGCACUAAUCACACACCAUAGGUAGGACUUAGUUAAUUUUUUAGUGCUUCAGUAUCAUCAAGUGACUUGUUAUUACCCAUAUGAACCUAAUUCAUGGGAUCUCCAAUCACACAGGUCGGGUUACCAUCACCCUUGAUAUCUCAUAUAGGCGUCAGUCCCAUACCCAUUAAUGUUUCAAGAAUUAAUUUUCUCCCCGAUGUUUUAGUCAGUAGAUCGGCCAAAUUCACUUCUGACUUCACAUAAUUGAUAGAUAUAAUUCCAUAUUUUAACAGCUAUUUUAUCACAUUGUGUAUCAAUCAAUUAUGUCGAUUUUUGAUAUUGAAAGUCUUGUUCUUUUCAAUGGCCAUUGCCGCUUGACAAUCACAGUGUAUCGAUAUAGAUGGUGUUGGUUUCAUUCCUAGUGGAAUCUCGGCUAAGAAAUUUCUUAACCACUCAGCUUCAAUACCAGCUAAUUCCAAAGCUAUAAACUUAGAUUCCAUGGUGGAUCUAGAAAUGAUAGUUUGUUUGGCUGAUUUCCAAGUAAGUGCACCCCCACCAAGAGUAAAUACAUGACCACUAGUGGAUUUAGUCUCAUCUGAAUUUGAAAUCCAAUUUGCAUCACUGUAUCCUUUCAAUACAGCAGGAAAUCCACUAUAUAGAAUGCCAUAGUUCAUGGUACCUCUUAAAUAUUUCAUUAGUCUGACUAACCCAACCCAAUGAUCACAAUUAGGAUUAUGAGUAUAUCUACUUAGCCUGUACACAGCAUAAGCUAUGUCAGGUCUAGAAAAUUUAUCAAAUGCAUCAGACUCCUAAUAAUUUGAGCGUAUUUAGUCUGAGCAAUUGGAUCACCACGAUUUUUUUUUAAUUGAGUGUUUGCAUCAUAAGGAGUACUCAAAGUGAUCAAACUUCCUAAGAAGUUUCUCUACAUAAUAUUGUUUAUGACAACAUUAUACCAUUGUCUCUCCUUGUGAUAUAAACCCCCAAAAUCACAUUAGCUUCACCGAUGUCUUUUAUAUCAAAUUUUGAAGCUAGAAAACAUUUAGUACUUUGUCCCACAUCAAUGCUAGUACCAAAUAUAAGCAUAUCAUCCACAUAUAAACUAAUAAUCACACAUUCAUUAUUAGCAACUUUUGUAUAAACACACUUAUCCACAUCAACUGAUGAGAAACCGUUACUUAAUAUAAUUUGAUCAAAUUUUUCAUACCAUUGUUUUGAUGUUUGUUUAAGACCAUAUAGUGACUUUCUCAAUUUACACAUUUUAUUCUCUAAUCCAGGGGCUAUAUAGCCCUCUGGUUGCACUAUAUAAAUCUCUUCUUCUAGAUCGCCAUUUAAAAAAACUGUUAUGACAUCCAUUUGAUGUAUAAAAAGCUUGUAAAUAGAUGCUAAGGCAAUUAAAACACGUAUUGAAGAAAUUCUAGUUACUGGGGCAAAAGUAUCAAAAUAGUCAACAUUUUGUUUUUGCGCAAAAACUUUUGCAAAUAGUUUAGCUUUAUAUUUAUCAAUUGAACUACCAGGAAAACAUUUUUUCCUAAAAAUCCAUUUGCAAACAAUGGGUUUUGUCCUCGGAGGUAAAUCGACUAAUUCCCAAGUUCGAUUUUUUAAAAGUAACUCAAUCUCAUUACCAAUAGCUUCUUUCCAAAGUGAUGCAUCAGAAGAUGAGAUAGCAUCAGAGUAAGAGAUUGGGUUAUCAUCAACAAGAUAAGUGAUAGAGUCAUCUCCAAAAGAAAAUUCUUUCCUAAUUCUCUUACUCUUUGUUAAUUCCUUGUUAGAGGUCAUGUCAACACUUUCAUUAGUGUUUUGACUAACAGAUGCAUGAGAAAUCUUUUUAGACAAUGGAUAAAUAUGUUCAAAGAACUCAACAUUCUUUGUUUCAACAAUAGUAUUGCAAUCAAGAAUAUCACUUUUCAAAACGAGAAACCUAUAUGCAGCACUAUGUUCAGCAUAGCCAAUAAACAUACAAGCAAAAGUUCUUGAGCCUAUUUUUCUUUUCCUAGGUUCAGGUAGCAUAACUUUAGCAAGACACCCCCAUAUUUUUAAGUAUUUCAGGUUAGGAGUAUAACCCUUCCACAAUUCAUAAGGUGUCUUUCCAGUUUUCUUAUAGGGAAUUCUAUUUUGUAAGUGACAUGCGGAUAUGAUAGCUUCCCCCACAAGUUAUUAGGUGUAGGAGAACUUAUUAGCAUAGCAUUCAUAAUUUCUUGUAGUGCUCUAUUUCCUUUCAGCUACACCAUUUGAUUGUGGAGAAUAAGGAGGGGUAGUUUCAUGAAUUAUACCUUCCUUUUCACAAAAUUCGUUUAUUGGUAAGAAUUCUCCUCCUCUUUCUGAUCUAACUCUUUUGAUUUUUCUAUUCAAUUGAUUUUCAACCUCAGCUUUAUAAACUAGAAAUGAAUCAUAAGUUUCAUAUUUAUUUCUAAGCAAGUAAAUUUUGAUAUAUCUUGAGUAAUCAUCUAUAAAAGUUACAUAAUAUUUCUUUCCACAUCUUGUCAUAGUUUGUUUUAAAUCACCUAAAUCAGUAUGAAUUAAAUUUAGUAACUCACUUUCCCUAUGAACAGGUGCACACGUUUUCUUAGUCUCAACACAAACUUGACAUUUAUUUAUGCAUGUAGAGCCAGAACUAGAUGUCAUACCCAAAGAAAGCAUUUUCUUAAUAUAUGGUAUACUAACAUGACCUAAUCUAGCAUGCCACAUAUCGAUAGAAUUAGUCAAGUAGACAAAAGAUGAUCCAGCAUUUUCAUUAAUAACAUUGUGAACAUUCAGUACAAAUAACCCUUGAUUACAAUAACCUUUCCCUACAAGAACUUUAUUUUUGGUCAUUACGAUCUUUGGACACCCUAACCCAUGCUUUCCCUAAUAAAGCCAUAGAUAUUAAAUUUGCUCUAAUGUUGGGAACAUACAGCACUUCAUUCAAAGCUAAGGUAGAGCUAGAGGUUAGCUUGAGUUGGACUUUUCCUUUACCAAGAACAUUUGUUGUUCUUGGAUCUCCAAGGUAGAUUACCUCUUCUCCAUCUCCUACAGAAGUGUAGGAGGAAAAGGCAUCCCUAUUAGCACAAAUGUGUCUUGUUGUCCCAGAGUCUACCACCCAGUCCUUAUCACUGGCCAUAAUAUUCACUUGAGAAAUAACCGUCGCUAUAAUAUCAUUUCCUUUGACCAAGUUGACUUUUGGGUUUAGAGGAUCGUCAUUUCUCACUUUUUUAUGACACUGGGGUGCAUGAUGGCUAGGCUUUCCACAAACAUAGCAAGUGCCUUUCUUUUUGAACAUAUGGUUAUUAACUUUAGGCUUGAAAUCACAGGUUUUGUUGUUGUACCUUUUUCCUUGUACCAGCUUGGACUUUGUUGCCAUUUCCUUUGACUUUGCAGCUUUUGACUCCUUUCAAUUGGUGUCCUCAAUAAGGAUGUGUGUGAUUAGCUCAUCCAUCGAAAGAAGCUUAUGCUUGUGUUUCAAAUUGUUUUUAUAGUCAUUCCACAACUUUGGCAGCUUUUCAAUCAAAAUCCCAGCUACAAACUUUUUUGGUAGCUCAAUCUCCUCGGCUUUCAACUCUUCUAGUAACUUCUGGUAUUCAGUGAUUUGAUCCUUGAUAUCCUUAUUGUCUAUCAUCUCCCAUCGGUAGAAUUUGAGUACAACAAACUUUUGUUUUGUUGUAUCCUGUACAUUGAACUUCUUGACUAAUGCCUCCCAGAUGGUUUUAGCUUCCUUAUAGCUACAAUAUACAUCAAAUAGUUCAUUAGACAAAGUUUGUAAGAUGGUGUAUCGACAAACCUUUUUGGCAUGGACCCAAGCAUCUUGAAUGUGAGCUUCAGAGUUUGAUGAAGGUUUUGGGUCUUUGAGCGCAAAUGCCACUCCAUGUAUGUCGAGCAAAGAGUACAAACGUUCUUGCCAUCUCUUGAAAUUCUCGUCUGCGAAGACCUCGAUUUUUGAGACAUCCGGGAAUGGCUUGGCAAGUGUCAUCGCCAUGGAUGAUGAUGGACCAUUCUCAGGUAUGGUGAUUGAAGGAGGUGUACCCGAAGCGGUGUUGUCGUCGGAAGCCAUUUAUCCUUAAGAUUGUUGGCAAAAAAAAAAAAAAAAAAAAAAAAAAAAAAAAAAAAAAAAAACAUCUUGAAUGUGAGCUUCAGAGUUUGAUGAAGGUUUUGGGUCUUUGAGCGCAAAUACCACUCCAUGUAUGUCGAGCAAAGAGUACAAACGUUCUUGCCAUCUCUUGAAAUUCUCGUCUGCGAAGACCUCGAUUUUUGAGACAUCCGGGAAUGGCUUGGCAAGUGUCAUCGCCAUGGAUGAUGAUGGACCAUUCUCAGGUAUGGUGAUUGAAGGAGGUGUACCCGAAGCGGUGUUGUCGUCGGAAGCCAUUUAUCCUUAAGAUUGUUGGCAAAAAAAAAAAAAAAAAAAAAAAAACANNNNNNNNNNNNNNNNNNNNNNNNNNNNNNNNNNNNNNNNNNNNNNNNNNNNNNNNNNNNNNNNNNNNNNNNNNNNNNNNNNNNNNNNNNNNNNNNNNNNNNNNNNNNNNNNNNNNNNNNNNNNNNNNNNNNNNNNNNNNNNNNNNNNNNNNNNNNNNNNNNNNNNNNNNNNNNNNNNNNNNNNNNNNNNNNNNNNNNNNNNNNNNNNNNNNNNNNNNNNNNNNNNNNNNNNNNNNNNNNNNNNNNNNNNNNNNNNNNNNNNNNNNNNNNNNNNNNNNNNNNNNNNNNNNNNNNNNNNNNNNNNNNNNNNNNNNNNNNNNNNNNNNNNNNNNNNNNNNNNNNNNNNNNNNNNNNNNNNNNNNNNNNNNNNNNNNNNNNNNNNNNNNNNNNNNNNNNNNNNNNNNNNNNNNNNNNNNNNNNNNNNNNNNNNNNNNNNNNNNNNNNNNNNNNNNNNNNNNNNNNNNNNNNNNNNNNNNNNNNNNNNNNNNNNNNNNNNNNNNNNNNNNNNNNNNNNNNNNNNNNNNNNNNNNNNNNNNNNNNNNNNNNNNNNNNNNNNNNNNNNNNNNNNNNNNNNNNNNNNNNNNNNNNNNNNNNNNNNNNNNNNNNNNNNNNNNNNNNNNNNNNNNNNNNNNNNNNNNNNNNNNNNNNNNNNNNNNNNNNNNNNNNNNNNNNNNNNNNNNNNNNNNNCCCAUCUAUUUAUGGUCUGGAUGUUCAUUGUUGGCUGUUGGAACUGUACUUCUUUAUCUGUCUUCUUUGAAUUUCAUGCCUUCAUUUUGCACUUUCUUUGUAGAGUUUUAUUCAUAUCAUAUGUUUUCUCCGUUUCUAGUCAAGCUAGCUUGUUUGAAGUUUGGCAGAGUGCUUGUAAGCGUUAUUCCAUAUUCCUUCCCUUUUGUUUCAUUGCUUUCACUGAUGCGGCAGACAAUUUCUGUGCGCAUUAAAGUAUGUUUUCAGGAUCCAAAAUAAUCCAUCGUCAUUGCUACUAUUAGGUAAAUCAUGUUUCUGAUUGGAGCAUUGACAUAGGAAGCAUUUUUCCCUUACUGAAUGGAUGUUUGGGAUAGAUUAUUUCAAGAGAAUAUGAUUUUUUGUGAAAAAUAUGUGGUUUAAAGGUAGGAAAAAAUAUGGGUUCACGUGCAAAAUUAUUUUAGUGGGAGAAUAUAUGGUUGAAAAUUAGUUUGAGGAAAAAUGGUUUUCAAAUAAGCUUUGCCAAAAAAACAAUACUGAAAAACUCAAUGGGUCAAGACUCAAGAGAGAUUGGCGUCUGAGCUGUUUUGCCUAUAUUCUGAGAUUGGUGUCUCAAGAACCUUUGAGAGAGUAAAGGCUUGCUUUCAUGUAUGCUAGUAGUUAUAUUUUCUUGGAGGCGGACAGUGAUUUCCAAGCCAGCAGCUAUUAGAUAUUUUGUUCUUUUUUUCUAGUUGUCAGCAUAUUCCUGAAGCUUUAUGACUACUUUUUAGGAAUGGAAAUGGCUCAACUGAUAUGUGGAGGUUGUCGUACCUUACUUAUGCAUGCACGAGGGGCUACCAGUGUCAGAUGCUCCUGCUGUCAAACAGUGAACCUCGUGCCUGGUACUAAAGUCUGGAGAGUGUAUUUUAUUACAUAGGCUCGAUCUAUAUAUCUUCUUACUCUUUCCCACUUUCAGGAUUGUAUUGAUAUGCUCUUCAUAAAAGUUUAUGAAAAUAUUACAGAUUGUGCCAUAAAUAUCCUCUACACUACUUACCCUGGUUUAAUACCUUGAUUGUUCCUGUCUGGAUUCACUUAAGUUAUUCUUUUAUCUUCAACUCAUUACCACUGAAUAAUGGAUGUGCAGCACCUAAUCAUGUUGUAAACUGUGGGAACUGUCGAAUCAUGUUGAUGUAUCCAGCUGGAGCUCCAUCAGUUAAAUGUGCAAUUUGUCAGAACAUCACAACUGUCAAUGUUAGUAACCAGGUAUUUACUCUACUCAGUUAUACCCUUGCUCACAAAAAUGCUUUAAAAAUAGUCCUUAUGGCUUACAAAAGUUAGGCUCAUCUUUGAAUGCUUCCAUCAAUUUAUCCGUGUAUUUGUCUCAGUGCCCAUGUUUCCACUGCAUAUACGAACUAUACCCUUUAAGUUCUUGUUUGUGUACCUCUUCAGGUGCCAAAUGCUGCAAAUUACAUAAUAUUAUUAUUGAGUCUAGUCCUGAUAUAUAGCUAAUAGCUUUAUGCUGUUCCUAAUUCGUUUCUUCUUUUGCAGAUGGGUGCAUCAAGAGUUCCAAUUCCUGUGCAAAGACCUGAUGGAAACUCUACAUCUGCAUCAAUACCGUCUACCUCCCCUGUGAGUUGAUCGAUUUGUAUCAUAUAGUCACUGUAAUUGCUAUUAUCUGAUGUGGCAUUCAAUGAUUUGAACUGCUCUAUUCGAUGCAGGCUGCAUCCCAUGCUCAGAAUCAAACAGUUGUUGUUCAGAAUCCUAGUUCUGUUGACGAAAGUGGCAAGUUGGUGAGUUACUUCACAUCUCCCACUAGUUUUUUCCUUCCCACAUUUCUGUAUGUUUGCUGUUACUGUUACUAUUUUGUUGUUUAAAACUCAGAAGACAAAUUAGGCUGAUGUAAUUCAAAAUUUUCAGGUUAGCAACGUUGUCGUUGGCAUUACAACAUAAGAAUGUUAUCGGAAUGUAUUGCAUCGAGUACUAUAUUUGGGAAUAAAUGGCUAUUUCAGGAACUGGGCUUCGACCUGGUAUAUAGAGAUAUCUGUGCAUAUCAUUGCCAAAGACAAAUAUUGAAGUACAAAACUUCUGGUUGUAAAGUUUUAGAAAAGACUGCAGUUUUGUUUACCGUACGAGUAAAAACAAGUGUUGAUAUUUUAGUUAUUUGUGGUUUUAUGCUACUGAAUAAUUGUGUUUGCUAUGUAUGCCCGAAAAGCGUGAAAAAUUGCCAACUAUAUAUCAGCCGUUUAUUUUAUUUUUUUUAUUCGGAUUGAAUUUAUGUUGGCUUCACCGGGAGGCUCGCGUAGUUUGUUACAUUAGCUCCAAAAGGAUAAGUUGUGUUGGAAUUGAUAAAAUUAUGUGGAGUUCAUAAUUGCAUAAAAGAAGUCAAAGUAGUGGCGACGGCGCGUUGAGGCACGUAUUCGACAGUUCUUAUACGCCCAUCCUUCGAAAAAUUCAUGGGUAGGAAAUAUUGAAUUGGAAAAUUAUCAAUUUUGAUCUUAUACAGUCCAAAAAUGCUAUUAAUUCAGCAGCAAAAUUGCUCAUACAUAGUAAGGCCAAAAAGAUGAAUAUGCUCUUUAUAAUCAUUAAAUUUUUUAAAUGAUUGUUUUGAUGUAUCAAGAAAAUUCUUUGAAAGAAAAGAAUCAAAUAAUUUUGAUGGGCUAUGCUAGAUUACAAUUAUGGCCUCGUUAGGCACCCAUUUUUUUAAAAAUCCAUUUCUCUCUUUUUUUUCAGCUACACAUUCUUUAUUUAUAAUAUUGUAUAUAAAUAAAUAAAUAUUUCCUUAUUUUUCAACUAUACAUUUUUCAUCAAUUUACUAUUCUAAAAUACAUUUUUACAUAAAAAUGGAUAUCAAACACCCUCAUAGUGAAAAACCGAAAAAAAAAUGAAAAUAAAAAACGUCAUCAGUGAUCAAGAAUUUGACAUUAACAUCAACAAUGAAUUGAUCAACUUUCUUGAACUUGCUAGAUUCAGCAAGAUCAUCCAAUACAGAAAGAAUAGAAGUACAAUAUCAAGAUCAAUGAAGCUAUCAAGAAACAGGGGACCCUAUAACUCUCAUUUUCCCUUUACUAAUUCUAACUAUGACUAUCAUACAAAUCAAUCUGUGGGAAUUUCAAUGAAUCUUGGAUGCAAAAACAGCACAAAAAUCCAAAAAAAUACUACGAAGAACACAUUGCUCAAGCGUGCCACGCCAAAACUCACCUCUAUAAUAGUUUCUUCCUCCGGUUUCAUGUCAUUUGGAGAUGGUGGCAGAAUGAUAGUUCCUUCCACCGGUUUUGGGUCAUUUGGCGACGGUGGCAUAAGGAUCGGUUUAGGCAUAUGCGUCGAUGCUGCUGUCUUGCCCGGCGGCGGCGGUGGUGAAAAGAGGCCGUUGUCAUUGCUGCCAUAGACAUUGUAAUCAAGAACUUUGUUGAUUCCAUGCACUGAAAAAGCAGCGUUCACAAGAAUAUCUGGAUGGGUGACUAGAGAGUCAUCGAGGGUGAAAUUGAAUCGCGAAGUGUUGGUAAUGACGAUGAACUUGGAAGGGAAGAGCGUGGGGAGGCGCGUGAGGAUAGGGAACUGUUGUAGAUCAGAGAAAGAGAGGCGCUGGGGGACUAUGUGGUAAGGGACAAUAAAAGCGUCGAAGUUCAUUCCGGCGGCGUUGGCGGUUGGAAAGCCGGAGAUGGCAUCGUUGCUCGGAACGAAGAGAGUGGCGGUGAGCGGCAGAGAUGAUGGGUUGAUGGAGGAGAGCAAAUUGAUCCAUCUCGCAAAGUCUCCGGCCCGGUUUAGGGCGUCGAUUAUAUUGUUCAGCUGUUUCUUUUGAAUCUCCACCAGUGGCAGCGGCCGAGGCGGAGGAAAAUAACUGGUGGGUGGAAAACGUGGGUGUGGUAGUGAGAUUGAGGAUGGAAAGGGUGGUGGUUUUGCGGCGGAGGUGAGGUGGAACCCGGUGGUGGUGCCCAUGAUUGCCACCAGGAGAAUCAGGCAAAGAAAGGAGGAAAUUUCCAUCAGUUUCUUGGUGAAUUUUGAUCAAAAUACGGAUUCUACGAUUAUGAAUCUCUAUAUAUUUUGUUGAAUUCUGAAUUCUGAGAGGGAAAAUUAACGAACUUCGUUUCUUGAAUUCUGGAUUUACUUCUAACUAACUUUAAUAACCCGCUAAAUUUUGAACAUGUGACUAUUACCAACUUGGUCCGCAAUAUUUGAGCCUGAGCAUUUUAAUCCUCAAUCUAUUUUUGUUGCACAAACUAGUCCGAAUUCGAAACCCGACCUUGUGUUUAUGCCAAUACAUCGCGAGGUGUACAUAUGGUGAAGCAAGGUCACAAGAGAACUAACCAAACAACCAGUACUUUAUUAUUUAGGCUUUCGACCCAACCUGAAACUAUAGCAAAUAGAUUAGAUUAUGAUCCUAGCUUAAUAGUGGUAUACUAUUGUGGAAUGAUUGUUAUGUAACAUCCCACCUACUUAACUCUCAUUUCCUAUUACAUUUACCCAAACCACUCAAUUUAUGGUAAGAUAAAACGUUCACUCUAGAUAAUCUGAUUUUGAACCUUGUUUCCAUACUUUUCUAACUUGAUCGCUAUAGUGGAAAUAGUCACCCUCCCGAACAUGGUUGAACUCACUAAUAGGGAUGGCAAAAAAUUCUAUUUAACCCAGUACCCAUGGAGUCUUGCCUUGAAUGGGAUGGGAAUUACCCUCCUUACCAAGUAUAUGGGGCGCAUACGGGGAGAGGGUCAUUGUCCCAAAGUGGGAAUGGGAUGGCUACGAGAAACAUAGUCCCCGUCUAUUUACCGCCCCGUUUAAUGUUAAUUUCAAACUUAAAUUUUUAUAAAAUAAAAAUAAUAGAUUUAUCAUCAUUUUUAAAGAGAAUAUAAGUUGUUUUUAACAAAUUGGUAAAAAAUUAAUAAUAUUUAUUCACUAAAGACAUAAAAAUAAAUAAAUAAAAGCAAAAAAUAAAAUAAAUAAAAAGAAAAAAUAAGUGGGCUAUAAAUGGGGCAGAAGACCUGUUCCGUCCCGUCCAGCUUUAAUUGGAUAUGAGUAUGGAGUAAGAUAACAAAAAUAUUCGAUUGGACGGGAGUGAAAAUGACUGAUCCAUUACAUACCCGCCUCGUUGCAAUCCCUACUCACUAACCCAUUUUGUUUUGAAAAGAAAUAGGUAUUUCUAAUCGAAAGAUCUAAUUAGAUUUCGAGGUGGACACGUUAUCCAUCUACCUCACCAUCCUCCCCUACCUCACAUUCAUGAUUUUUUGAAAUGCAGAAAUGAAAUGGCCGGUGCAUUUACACUAUUAGAAUAGGGUAUACCUUCCAACCGCAAUAUCUGUGCCCCUUUUAGUGGUUCCAAGUUCUGAUUUUUAGGAAUUAGUAACAUUGCUUGCAGUGCUGUAUGUGGCUUUCUUUGCAUCAAUCUCAUAUCUUUAGAUUAACACAAACCAAUUUGUCUCAGCUUUGGGCUUAAAUUUAGUGGCCCAUUAAAAAAUUAAAAUCAUUAGUUUUAGGCUUGAUGUUCUAAUAGUGGUGUAUAUGCUUGCUAGAGUUGGACAAACCAACCCAAACUGAUUAAUCUAGGCUGGUUUUUAAAUUCAAUUGGGUUGGGCUUGCGUUGAAAAUCAACUUGAGGUCAGGUGGAUUGGGUCUCGUGUUAUAAAUUAAAAUCCAGCCCAAUCUGAUGAAUUUAAAAAAAAAAAUGAAUAUCUAAAAUGAAAAUAAUAAUAAUAAUAAUAAUAAUAAUAAUAAUAAUAAUAAUAAUAAUAAACACAAUAUUCAAAAUAAGUGAAUGAUUUGGAAUUUACAAAUGUCCUUCUAUUUUUAUAUAGGCCAAUUGACAGUGGUAUGAAUACUGUGUACAAAUAAAAAAUUAUUUGACGGUAAACUAAAAUUAGGGAUAUAAUGAUGAAAUGAAUGAAUUUAAAAAAAAAAAUUAUAUAAAAAAUGCUCCGUAAUUUCAAACUUAUUUAUAUAUUAUAUUUAAAAAAAAAAUUCCUUAUAUAAACUAAAAAUAACGGAGGUUUUCAAGUGGUUUUAAACUUUAAAAAAUCUUCAAAAUUCAACAAAAGAAUAAUUAGAUCCAACUUGAAUUGGGUUCAAUCCAAAUCGACUAAACCAACCCAAACCGACCUAAGCUUAAUCGGUUUGGGUUGGAUUGUGUUGGGUUUGAUGAUGAUGAUGAUCAUAAUAAUAAUAAUAAUAAUAAUAUUAUUAUUAUUAUUAUUAUUAUUAUGAAGCACUUCACAUGAGCGGGAAAUUAAUAUAAUAUUAAUUUCUUCAACGUCACCUAAUUUAAAACUCAUUAAGAGGAACGAACGGCUAAUUAAUCAAUGAACAUUUAAAUAUAUUAAAUUAUUAUAAUACAUUACACUCUAAUGAAAAUAAUAUAUGUCAGUUAUUUUUAAGUAAUUUUUGUGACAUCUUAGCAUGUUCUUAGUAAGAAAAAUAAUAGAUAGGGAGACACAAAGCCAAGAGUAGUGCCGGUCUCUUGUCUGUAAAUUGUAAUUUAAAGUUUUUAUCUCAGUUAUAUAUGCAACAACAUGUAGUAAGGUUUAAUUUAAUAUGUUUUCUAAACCAAUUAAAAUUUACCAUUCAUGCAUGGGAUUUCCAAUUUGUUCCACCCCUAAUUAAUGCCAUGACCCAUUCAACUUCUUGCUUAACAUGUUUAGCCCCUAUUUGACAUAGAUUAAAAUCUGAGUAUUUAUAGAUAGAGUAAUGAUAUUCUUAGUCGUUCACUGUGAUAGUCGUCAUAUAUGGCAUCUUACAUAAUGCUUUGUGAUUUGAUGGAUUAAUGUGAUAGUUUUUCUUAACUCAUAUAUCAAUCACUAACUGGGCAAUAUAUAUACCAUGUAGGGUGGUUGGAACAUUGAGUGACUACAAAUAGUAUUAUUCUUAUAGAUAUAGGGUGCUUGGGUAUUGCGAUUUGAUCUUUCCCAAUCAUCCUGGUUGGAACUUAUAUGCAUCGCACUUUAAUUUAGAGUUAAUACGCUUGCAUGCAUUUGAAAUAGUUAAGCUAUUUUAUCCCUUCUUUACGCACAACUACAUACAUAGCUGUCGGCUCCAUACUGAUUAGACCUGUCGGAAUUUGAGAACGAUCCAUACCACCAUAGUGGAUCUGAUUUUAAUUCUAAAUUAAAGUCAAUAAUUAAUUUUAACCACAUAUAUAAAAUAACUUUUCAACCAUACAUUUCAUCACAUUUUAACAAAGACUCUACUAAAAAUCUGAUUUUAAUAUAUAUCAAACAGCAGAUAAUCAAUCAUAUGUAAUAUUGAUACGAUAUUAAACAAGUCCGGAUCUACUAUCAUGACUUACUAUUUCAUUGGAACAUGACCUUGUUUUAGCAAAUGGGAAGAAUGCAACAUAUUUUUGACAACUCGAAACAUUAUACGUUAGAGUUUUCACGUCAACUAAAAAGAGGUGUGAUAUGUUGAGGUCUCAAAACUAAAAUAUAUUCAAGGAAAAAUUCGAGACAAUAAAUCUCAACUCACAAUAAAACAAUUUUAAUUUCUUUUUUCUUUAUUAAUAUAGUCCAAUACUAUACAAUCUGUAAUAAGAAACAAGCCAAUGAUUGUACAGUGCAUUUUGCAUUUGGAUUUUCAAAAACUUAGACAUUCCUGUUUGGUAGGAUUAAAAAUUCAAAUUUUAAUUUAAGUCAAAGUUAACGAUUAAUUUUAUUUGUACAUUUUAUAUGAUCUACAACUUUCCAGUCACAAAUUUCAUCAAUUUUUAUUAAAAUCUAAUAAAAAUUUGAUUUUAAUCACCACCAAACAGGACAAACCCAAACAUAAUUUUGCACCACUUCGGGGUACUUUGGAUGAAAAUCUUUCAAAUUAAAGUAUAAUUUUUUCUCACCAUCAACUUAAAGAAUAGGGGUAAAAAUGUCAAUAAAAGACAUUGGAGACUUUGAAUCCAAAAUUUUCUUGGGUUAAUAUGAUGUGAAUCCGGUUAGUAAGGUCGUUAUCGAACCCACAGGAUUUGACACCUGAUCCCAAGAACGCCAAAGAACCAAGGUUUCAGAUUUAAUCCAAGAAUCAUGAACCAAGCAACCAAUCGUAUAUUAAACUUUUGACCUCUUGAUCACACAAUUAUUGAACCUCACCCGGAUUUGUGGAUUUGACCCAAAGAAUUAAUGAAUCAAACAACCCAACGAUAACAGUGAUACGAAGGACCUUUUGAUUGCACACCCCAAAGAAUCUCACCCGAUGAUUUGUUUGAACGCCCCAAAAUAUUAAAUCUUGAUAAGUUCGGUAUUUUGAAGUAAAAGUUACGAGAGGAAAAUCUCCAUUUAAUUCAUAAUAAAAGUCUUGUAUUACAGUGUAGAAAAAUAAACAUAUUUAUACUAAAACCUAGAAUAAAGUUUAAAUAGAAUAAAAUUCUAAAAUACCUAGAAAUCUAUUAAAAUCGGAAAUAGAGUCCUAAAAUAUCAAAAUUAUCAAAAAUAAGAAAUUGGACCAAAAUAAAAUUUCUCCACAUCACAUCAUUAUAUGUACAUGCAAAGUUGAUGAUGAUGAUGAUACAUAUUUAUAUAAAUAUAAAUAUUUUUAGAUGAAAUAAUUAAGAAAAAAAUCCGGCCCAUGAAAAAAAGAGAGGCAGCAAUCGAUCUUAGCCGUCCAUAUCGACGGCCACAAAUGCAAGGGACAGGCAUGGUGGCCAGUAGGCUGAGCCACUGGUGUCAAGGGGUGGCUGCUGCUUAUAUUUAGGCAAGCAUACACAAGAUUAAUUAGCAAUUAAACAGACCAUCAAGGCCAUUCAAGGGGUUGAAUUGUCAUUAAACGGAUCCAUUUUUCAAUAAUUGUAUUGUUUAAUUUAAUAAUAAUAUGAUUAAAUUAUAAUUGUGGAUCACAUGAAAGGAUGCUUCUGAUUCUUUUGUUUUGAAUUGUGUAUCAUUGUUAAUCAGAGAAUCCCAGUUUUAUUUUUGUUUUCUUGUGAAUUGUGUCAUGUUUGAACGUGGAGUGUGUGUAAUUUGGGGAUGGACCACAUCGAAAAAUGUUACAAAAUAACCAAGUUGGUUAAAAGAUAUAUUUAUAAAAUUUAAUGUUGAUGAAUAAGUAGGGUAGUAGAGGCACCAUUUGCAUCUUAAAUUCCCAAUUAAUUUGUGUAAUUGAUAAAAAUAUGUUUUGGUGGCAUUAAUGUGAGAUUAAAAGAGUGUAAAAUUAAAUGCAUCACUUAGUUAUAUUUUUCAUUGAGCCUAUCAGAUAAUGUCACCUAAACUGGAUCGGUGGACAGAUAAAAUUAGUCAACGAAUUUUGGCUACAUGGGAGGGGUCGGCGUGGUAGAGUUAAUGUAACAUAUAAAACCAAAAUUGUAAAAGUUAUAUCCUCUAGUUGAGAUCUGAUGAUGUUGCAAUAUGAUAUUUAAUAGGUCAUUUUAUAUGAGUAGAAUCGUGAUUUUAUUUUAUAAAAUGUAGGGCUAUAGAAUCAAUAUUUGCAGUAGUAGGAGAAACACAUUCGAGUUCUUUAUCAUCAAGAACAUGACUUGAAAAUCCAUCUCAACCACUCAAAAUUUAGUACAACAAAAAAACUUGUCUUGAAAGGUUUCUCGACCAUCAUUUUUCGAGGGAACAACAAAAUAUGACUUUUAAUGUCAAAAAAAAAAAAAAAAAAAAAGGAGGAAAGAGAGGCUUGAGUGGGUUCGUGAUUUUAUUUUAUAAAAUGUAGGGAUAUAGAAAUUAGAAUCAAUAUUUACAGUAGUAGGAGAAACACAUUUGAGUUCUUUAUCAUCAAGAUCUUGACUUCAAAAUCCAUCUCAAUCACCCAAGAUUUAGUAUCACGAAAAAAACUUUUCUUGAAAGAUUUCUCAACCAUCAUUUUUUGAGGAAACAACAAAAUACAACUUUUUACGACAAAAAAUCAAUUUUUUGAGGGAAAAUCACUCCCAAACAGGCUGUAAUUGAUAUAGAAUGAUACAAAUUCUUUCAAAAAUUUGCAAUACUAGAAAUUAGGAAAAUGUGUAUUCAAGCUCUUUUGUCAUCGAGGACCAGGUCCAAAUCUAGAAUAAAUUGGCAUUAAGUUCUAGAUGAGUGUGAAAAUGUUUAUCUUAUAACUUCUCAAUUACAUAUUAGAAAAAAAUAAGAUAUGAAGUCAUGAAUUCUACAAAUUGAUUUAUAAAAGUAAAUAAUUAUUUUAUGUAUUUAGAGGUUGUUUGUACGGGUGAACAUGGUCCGGUUCGGGUCAGUUUUAACGAGAAUCGAACUGAACUCAAAAUUUUGGGUACUUAGUAAGUGGAACUGUUGGAUCCAAAUUUAAUUAUAGAACCGUUCGAGUUCGGUUUGAUUUGAUUUCUAAGUUAUGUACUAUAAUUAAUUUUUUUAAUAUUUACAAAGAUAUAUUAAUUUAACUAAUGACAUUCAAUUUUAGCUCUUAUAAAAUAACGUAGUUCAACCUUAUAUGUCUUUUGCGUCUUUCUUUGCUAUGUUUUUCAUAGAUUUAAUUGUUAAAAUCACAUGAAGAUGAUAAUAGUGAGUUUACAAAAAUUAAGAGAUGGGCUUUCAAGUUUCAAUUCGAUUUCUCCAGAACGGUAGAAACGAUACCACGGUAGAAUAACAGAUUUGGAUAAAACUUAGGUUAAUUUGAUUAAAUUAGACUUGUACUAAAAAUUAGAAAUAGCAAAAUCAUAUUUUUGGAUUUGUGCAAAAUUAACUAGUUAGCAAAUUUAUUUUUAAAAAAAGUAAAAAAUAGUUCGACUUAUUUAAAAUAAAUAAACUAAAAAAAUUAGGGACUUAUUUAAAAUAAAUAAAUUAAAAAAUUAGGGAGAUCAGGUUUUUAUUUGAUUCUUCGAUUCUUAAUCUAAAAUCGAGAAUUGAACCGAACCAAUCGGUACUCUAUUCAGAUACCCGUUCGAGUAUUUAACUUAAAAAGAAUCACUUGGUUCGAAUCCAAAUUGGUUCGAAAGUUUUGUACGGCCCUAGUUAUUUAAUCAAGUUUUUAAUAAAUGUUGAUGAAAUAUGUGUUUGAAAAGUUAAUACAGUUGUGAAUUUGAUGAGAUUUGUGGUCAAGAUUGAAGUUUAACUAAUUUAAAAGUUGAUAAAUUUUUGUCAAACAAACACUUAGACUUAUAUGGGCUCCAUAUUUAUCUAAAAUGUAUUUUUCUCUAUUUUUAACUAUAUAUUUUCUAAUAAAUAAAAUUACAUGUAAAUUCAAAAAUUUUCUUUCUCUAAAAACACAUUUUAAUGAAGUCCAAAGAGGAACUUGAUAAAAUUGGAGUUUGAUUUGUUUUUUAAAUUUUGAAUGGCCAAAUAAAUAAAUAAAACAUAUUUUUUAAUUUACUUUUGAAAUAUGAGAUACUUAAAAUUGUUAUCUACACAUAAUUCUCGUAAGGGAAAUUUCAUAACUACAAUAGUUUAAAAAAUAAUUUUUAAAUUAACAAACUCAAAAUAAUUUUCACAAAUUAGGUGGUUUAUGAAUGUGAUUAGGUGGUAUGUAAAUGAUUGUGACCUAUAAAUUGAAUAAUUGUGACUUAAUAUGAUAUAUGAUUGUGACGUAAUCUAUAUUUGCGGUAUUAAUUACAUUCAAAUGAUCAACUAAUUAUAUAUUUUUUAAAGUUAAUAAUUGAUUAAUAAAUUAAAAUUUAAAAACACGAUUUCAGAUAAUUUACUAUUCUCAUAAUGUCCCAUCAGAGUACAAAGAAGUCGGUGGCUCCCCUCACUACCUUAUCCCGUUAGCCCCCCCCCCCCCCCNNNNNNNNNNNNNNNNNNNNNNNNNNNNNNNNNNNNNNNNNNNNNNNNNNNNUUUAAAAAAUAAAAAUAAAAGAAGUACUUUUCAUACGUACUACCAAUUAUAAAACAAGGGUUUAGUGUGUAAAAAACUCAAAAUCUUUUUAUUUAAAUUUGGGUGUCAAUUAUUGAUAUUGAGUAUGACUGAAGUGAUAAGAAUUGGAUUAAGAAGUUACGAUCGAUCAUUUCAUGGUUAUUGAGGAUGAAUGCAAUUUUACUUCGAAACUUUGAAGUCACGUGGAUUCUUCAAAUUUUAUAUCCUUCUAAGUUGUCUCACUUUGUCGCGUAUGCCUUACUCGUGGUUGUUCUCGAACAUUUUAGUUCUACUUUAGUCCUCUUUAAUCGAUGUUCACUCAUUUUCUUCAUCUACCACCUAACAUUGAUUUUUUUAUUUAUUUUUUAUUUUUAACAAUCAUCAAUAUUUAACCAAAAUUAAGUAACAAUUCAAUCAAAGGGACAUUCAAACAUCCACUUUUGACCAAAAUUAUAGAUGUGAUUAUAUUUAUUUAUGAAAAUUCAAACAUCCACUUUUAAACUACACGUGAGUUAAUUAUAGAUGUGAUUAUAUUUAUUUAUGAAAAUUCUAGUAAAGUAUAAAUAGUAAGAUUUAAUUGCCACGAAAUAAAUUUUGGAUAAAAUAAAAAAUAUUUUUCCAGCUCGAGCCACUUGUCAUUGGACUAAGCCCCCGUUUGACCCUCAUUAAUUUUCAUUUCAUAUCAUUUCAUUUCAUUUUUCUCUCUCCUAUUUUCAACCAUACAAUCUUUUAUAAAAUAAUAUUACAUGUAAAUUAAAACUUUUCCUUCUUUUCCAAUCACUCAUUUUUCAAAAAAACACUAUUCUACUCAUUCUCAUUACCACAAAAUGGGGAUCAAACGGGGGCUAAAUGUCUUGAGGCUUUCUUGGAGAAUCGCGGCCUGCUAUCCCCUCUUUCUUUUUCACCAUUUAUUACACACAUUUGUUGAAUUUCAAAUCCUAAUUAAAAAUAAAGUUAUCAAUUAGUGUUAUAUACUUGUGCAUAUUUGGUAUUGAUUUUUCUCCGCAAAAAAUCAAUUUUUUGAUAGUUAUUUCAUUAUUCAAGCCGUCAUUUUUCACUUUUUUCUUACAGGUAGAAACCACUUUCUAUCAAACGGUCAAAAAAUACUACUGAACAAGCCCAUAAGUCCACAAGAAUUGGCUAUUCAGUGCAACUACCGGAUUAUUACAGAUUAAGCCCCUAUUUGGUAAAAAUUAAAAAUAACAUUUUAAUUCAAUUCAAAAUUAACAAAUAAUUUUAAUCACAUAUUUUAUGUGAUCCACAACUUUUUAACCACACAACUUUUAUCAAAGUUUGUUAAAAAUCUGAUUUUAAUUCUUACCAAACAGGGGCUAAAUGUAUAAUUUUGUAUUUCUACGAGUAAUAAUAAUAAAAAUACAUAAUUUAUAGUGGUUCACCCAUAAUCAAUAUUGUCAUGAUCUUAAAUUUGACUCGAUUUGGUAAAAGGAUCUUGUCGAUUAGAUGGUUUAGUAAGAUAUAUGAUCUUAAUUCUAUUUGUCCAUUAACCUCUAUAGGGUUUCACCAUAUUAAAAUUUUAUGAAGAAGUCAUUCCUUUUUCUUUUUUCUCCCCCCGCCCCCCNNNNNNNNNNNNNNNNNNNNNNNNNNNNNNNNNNNNNNNNNNNNNNNNNNNNNCCACAAUUGAAAACAAUUCGACCUAGUAUCCAUUAUAUACAAUGAGGAACUAUUAUGGCCAUUCCGUGUCGAGGAAAAGUAAAUAAUCUGAUUAAGCUCUAAUCAUAUUUAGUUCAACUCAAUUUAACCAGUGAUUAGCUAAAUAGACGUUCGUUCUAGUCGAGUUCUUAUUGAUUAUAGUGACAAUAUUGAUACUAGCGACGAUAUUACAAUUACGGUUAAAACUUUGUACAUUUACUAUUUAAUUUUAUGUAAUAUUAUGUUCCUAAUUGGUAUCAAAAAUCUAGAUUUUAAUUUAAAUCAAAAUCAAUAAUUGAUUUUAAUCACAUAUUUCAUGGGACUCACAACUUUUCAACUAUAUAUUUAGUGCUUAUUUGGUAAGGAUUUGAUUAAUUGAUUUUUUGACCGUUAGAGAUCAAAAUGGGUCCUACUUGUGAGAGAAUAAUUAAAAAAUGACGACUGAAAUAGUGAAAUAACAGUUAAAAAAUUGAUUUUAAUUGGCUUAAAAUCUGUACCAAACAAGUAAUUAAUCAAUUUUUACCAAAUUCUACUACAUCACAAUUUUAAUUUCCGCCAAAAUAGGUACUAUAUUUUAUUGCUAACUCUUUACGUGUAACACAAAUCACGGGAGAGAGAUAAGAAGACAAAAAUGGAGAUGGAGAACAAAAGUAUGCUAAAUAUAUUAUUAUGAUAAACAGAAACAAUUGAACAGAUUUGACCCUUUUCAUGUGUAUGUAAAUAUCAAUCAUCUCAUAUCAUAAACCCUUAUUAAUUUUAUUAUUCUAAGCCAGUUUACAACUCAUUUCUUCUUGUUGCGUAUGAUUUUAAAUGAAAAGUCAGCGACUUAUCUCUCUUCUCCAACUUUUUCUCUCACUAAAAAAUCACUCUCCGUGAAAAAAAGUUCUGAUCUUCAAACAUAAGUCUUUGAAAACCUAAUUUAUGUCAAGAACCUGAAAUUGCAUGUUGUAUACGUAUGUUUGGUGCAAAAACUUGCCAAACUAAGCAAGUCAAAUGAUUAGAUUGCUUAUGUUGAGUUGAAGUAUGUGAAGUCAGUUAUUGCAGGGAAUUAAUGGAGACUACUUAUCAAGGUGAUUUAGCUGAUAUAGUUCGAGCCAGUGGCGGUACAAUAGGCAGCAGCAACGAUUCUCCCGAGGCACCAAUCUUGAAAUCCGACUGGCAGUUCCCAAGCAUCGAGAUCGAAGAACCAAUCGAUGAUUUUGGGGAUCCAUUUUCCAUAAUGGGAGAUCCACUACUCCACGAUAUUGAUAAUUCGCUCGUGCCCGUGUCAAGUUUCUUAAAUACCGGAAGUGCCGGAGGGUUCCGUGGUAGUAGUGGUGGUGGUGAUGGUAGUGGAAAUAACAGUAUUCUUGACGAUAGUAGAAAAAAGCCUCCUAGCAUCUUUUCAAGGAUGCAGAUCUCUCCUAAUACAAAAUUUCCCUUAUUGCCGCCGUGCGAUUCUCCGAUGGGUGCAGCUCCUUUGUUAGUUUCUAAUGAUCAUAGGAUUUCUCAAAAAAGUUUUGAAGGUUGUUUGGUGGAAAAUCCUGAUGUGGGUGUGCAGAUCUCGUCUCCGCGAAAUACGGGCAUCAAACGAAGGUGAUGAUAUAAUUAAUAUCUUGACUCAAAAUUUAAUCUUCUUGAUUGUUUAAAUCAUAAUCUUAUAUUUAAAUUCUAUAACACCAACACCAGGCUUUCAUAAACUAACUAAUAAUUAAAGCGAGUUUCAGAGAGUUUAGAAUCUCAAAGUAGGGUUUGUUAUAAAAUCAUUAAACAGUUUCUUGAGUUUAUAUGCUUCCUUCCCAGUAAGAUUGAUUUUUUGUAUAUGUUUUUAAUGAAAUUUAUUGCAUAUACUGUUGGUGGAAACCCCACUUACAGGAUUUCCGUUGUGUAGUCUUUCAAAUUCUACAUCAUCUCAGCUUUUUAAAGAAAAAAAGUGAAAGUAAAUGCCAAGAAGGACAGUGAUGAAUCAGUUUUUGCUUUCUAAAUACUGAGAAAGCCAGAAAACACGGUGUUUAAAUUCAUUUCUCGGUUCUGAUUUUGAUGCUACCAGGAAGAGUCAAGCCAAGAAUGUAGUUUGUAUUCCGGCUCCUGCGCCUGCAAAUAGCAGACCCAGUGGAGAAAUUGUUCCUUCUGAUCUUUGGGCCUGGAGAAAGUAUGGCCAGAAACCCAUUAAAGGCUCCCCUUAUCCAAGGUAAAACUUUUGAGUUAUGCUACAGUGUGUCAGAUAGGUUCACAUAAAUGUUGAUAUAAUGUUACAUAAUAUUCUAUCAUUUUAUUUUUAGUAGCAAAGUCAGCUUUUUUCAUUCAAUCAUUUACUGCAACCUACACUUCUGUCGCUGUAUCUAUCAAAAUCCUUCUGGCAAAAUGGCAUAAUCCGAAACUUAAUUCUACCUUUUCGUUCUUAGUAAGUUUGUUCAAGUGCACCUAGACGUCCCAACUAGGUCAGCACCGGUGUUGGGUUGGAACAUAGGGGACGAGUCAAGAUUUGAGAAUUUUCUUAACUCUUGUUUAAUUCUUGUGGUUUUGAUCAAUUUAGGGGCUACUAUAGAUGUAGCAGUUCAAAGGGUUGUUCUGCAAGGAAACAAGUCGAGCGUAGCCGAACCGACCCGAACAUGUUAGUCAUCACCUACACUUCUGAGCACAAUCAUCCAUGGCCAACUCAAAGAAAUGCUCUGGCAGGAUCCACAAGAUCUCAGCCAUCAAAGAACAAUAGUUCAGCUCCCAAGAAUUCAUCAAGUUCUGAUCAUCAGGGCCAAAAGUCUACAAACCCAAAAGAAAUCAAUACAGAAAAUGUAUCCUCACCAUCUGUGAAAGAGAGAACGGAUCAAGAUUGCAACAAGAAGUUGGAAACGACUAUUGAUAUCGAAUUGAGUGAAGGGUUUCGACAGAUUUAUGAGCCGGCAUUUUCGGCCGAUGACAGCAACCAAGCCGAAGACUUCUUCUCAGAAUUGGGUGACAUCGAAGCCGAACCUUUAGAUCUCUUGUUCACUCAAGGACUUUCUGGAGAAGAAGCCGAAGAAGACAAGACCUCAAAUCCAUUCAGUUUCUUUAAUUAGAGUGCUGCAGGAAAUAGUAACAACCUUAACAUCAUCUCAUUUGGAGAAACUAAGGAUUCAUAGUUAACAAGAUCCUAAAACAGCAGACAUAUGAUCGUAUAUACAGAUUUAACAGUUUCGUUUGAUGCAAUUUCAUUCAGUUGAGUGAGGCCAUCCAUAAACGAACACAACACAAUCAUCUGAUACAUGUGAUCAACUAGUUAAAUUUUCUAUGAUUUUUACCUUUUUGUGUAGUUAAAUUACUGCUGGUAAAUUUGGAGCAGAAGCCAGUGAGUCCAUUUCUCUCGGAAUAUUAUUAGAUGGGACAGAAAGCUGAGGAACAGAAGGUUUCACAGUUAUAAAAAGUGUAUUUGUCAGAUAUGACAGGAAAACUCAAUGAAGGGAUUGAUAUUGGAUGGGACAAUUUAAAGAGUGGGGAAAAUUAUUCAAUCAUGGGUACAUACCUUAAUUAAAAGAGGCAAAAUCUAUUGAAAUUGAGGAAAUUUAUGACAUUUAUUAUCAAUUGAGUCAUUAUGUAUAUGUAUUGAAUUUAGAGGAGAUGAUACUUAAGCCUUCGGUUCCUCCGCUUUCUGUUUUUUCAAUAUAGCCAGGUUACAAUAUAUGGUGUCAAUUGGUUUGAAUUCUUAAAUGUUUAAUUAAUUAGAUAUAACCAUAUUUUUCUAUGAUACUAGUUGUUCGCGUCGAAUGAAGGUUUAAGAUUAUGCAGGACGGGAUGAAUGAAAAGCGGUUUCGUUGGACUUCUAGUGGCCUUAGAAUUAUAGUGGUUUUUCAAUUUCAAGCAGCCCCAGUGAUAGCUAAGGGUACUUGUGACCGCUAGAAUUAUUGAUAUUGCUCGAUCUCCAGCAAACUUAAAAGAAUGGAAGGCCACACUAGAAGUUCAACAGCCUCAUUGGCAACUAGCUACGGGAUGAAUGAAAAGCGGUUUCGUUGGACUUCUAGUGGCCUUAGAAUUAUAGUGGUUUUUCAAUUUCAAGCAGCCCCAGUGAUAGCUAAGGGUACUUGUGACCGCUAGAAUUAUUGAUAUUGCUCGAUCUCCAGCAAACUUAAAAGAAUGGAAGGCCACACUAGAAGUUCAACAGCCUCAUUGGCAACUAGCUAUGUGCGCUUGACCUUGAGAGGCUACUCUCAAUCCUAAUCCUCAUCUAGAGAGCCUUUAGGGGGAAUCACUUCCUAGAUUCGCUCAUUUCUUGGAAUCGAAGUGGUAUUGAACACCAGUCUAUGUGACUACUAAGUGAUAUAUUUAUUUAAAGGAGAAAUCUUUUAUUUAAUGAUAUUUAGUACCACCUAAAUUGAUAUUGUAACUCCAUUGAUACUAAAUAGUAUUACUCUAUUGAAUAAUCUUGUUAUUAUUGUGGUCCUAAAUUAGUAGAGACAAGUAUCUAUAUUUCAUUUCCACUAAACCAUGAUACUUGACCUUCAUUUGGGAAGAAUUUAUAAACAAUCUAAUUUUUAUAUAAAUUUAAAUGAAUGAUAAUAAAUGGAUAGUACUUAUAUCUGAUUUAUAAAUUAUUUAUAAGUGAGCCAAAACUUUGACCAUUUAUAUUUAAUUUAUAAAUUACUUAUAAGUUAGCCAAACAGAUCUGCAUUGGCAUCACUCUCACUAGCCUUUUAAACUAGAUUGGGGGUGAGAUUAAUGUUUUAAAUAUAGUUACAAAGAUCUCAAUGAAAUAGUUUUGUGCAGAUUUGAGCAACUACCAAGCAUUGCCUUUUCGUGGGAUAAUUCUUCUCCCUUUACUUUAUUAUAUAUUUUUCGUAUAGUAUUUGGCAUUUAUGAUCAUUACUAUACAUUUGGGCACUUCUGUGCUCUUCUUGUUUCAAAGUGUUUCGUAUAAAUUUUGGAUUACAUAAUUAUUAUCUCGUUAACGGAUAGAGUGAAUUAAAUAUGCUAGAUAACAUUAUUUCUAACAUUUCCCUCAUCACUAUCAAAUAUCAUAACUAUCAACAUGCUGUAUUAAGCUAUUCGUGACGCUCAUCUAGCACACAUCCAUUCACCUAUGCACACGUACCCACUUGUACAAUAUAUAUGUUUCAUGUAGAUUUUAUAAUCUAAACAUAAAUAAUUAAUCCUAGAAGACUUGUGCGUUUUCUAACACACACAAGAAUAAACUCAAUCUUUAAUUAUUAUUAUUAUUAUUAUUAUUAUUAUUAUUAUUAUUAUUAUUAUUAUUAUUAUUAUUAUUAAAUAGUUAUCCAAUUAUUUGUCCCAUGUGCCAAUAUUUAUUAGAUUGGGAUCAUGAUGUACUAUAGAGACUUAGUGACUACUCUUGUUGCGAAAGCACUUCUCCAUGAAUUAUUAUUUGAUAAAUAGUGACCUUAGGUUUUGUCAAAUCCAUCAACUUUCAUAAAAUAUAAAUCUAACCUAUAUCAACUGAAGUCACUUCCUUACAAGGGGAAAAUGAAAAUAAAGAAAGUGUAAAGUUUAUAUAGUUUUCCCAAUAUGAUUGACUGGAAAAAUGUAAUUAUGUGUUUGUUAGAAUUUUUUAGUUUUAUUGGAGUUAGUAUUGAAGAAUGAUUUUGAUGGGAAAGAAAUAGCAUAUAAAGCUCAAUUGCAUGACCAAUAUUUGAGUGUUUUAGAACUUGUAGCGAUUAAUCUAUCUACCAAGAUCAUGAUAAGACGUGUAAAUUAUGCAUAUUCAACUAUUUUCUAAUUUGGCAUGACUCGUUUUUCAACUGCAUUGAGUUGAAAGGACUGUGUAGAAAUAUAUAAAAACUGACGCAAUAUCAUUUUGAAGUGUACAUUGAGUUGAUAGUGUGACAUAUAAAUUAGAUACACGAGCAUUUUCUACAAAACGUCAGCUUAAUAUGCAAUAACUUACCCUCAAUGUCAAUAAUAUUUGAAGUUUUAUAUAUAUAUUAUUGAUAAAUUUUUAGGAAAUAAAAUUACAAAGUUGCUAGACUUGACAUCACUACUCUUUAAGACCUGCCAAAUCCCAAAUCAAUAAAUUCGUCCUUAUGUAUAGAUUCUUUAUUAUUUUUUUUUCAAAUGUCUUUUUACCAACACAUUCUUCCAAAAAAAAUAAAUAAUUUUUUUUAUGUAAAUUCAUAAUUUUUCAUAUUUUCCAAUCACACAUUCUCCAAAAAUAUCACUUUUCUCAAAACCCGUUCUAAAAAAAAAAAAAAAAAAAAAAUCUACAUCAAAUAGUCCAACAUCAUUUCUAGUCCUUCAGUAAAAAAUCCAUCUUAUCGCAUUUUAAGAAUUUUGACUUUAUUUAUUUUAUUUUAUAUGCUAUAUUUUCAUUUUUAUUUUGUGUCCUUUUAUCAUAAACAUUGUUAUGGCUCACCCAAUGAGGUAGAUCACGUGGCAGCUAACUAGGAAAAAGUGAGAAGCUAUGUGAUGCAGGACGAAUUAAAGAAUAGAAAGAAGAAGCAAGAAGGGAGGGAGAAACCAAAAAGAAUGGGAGAGAAACCGGAGAAGAGGGAGAAAUCAGGAAAAAGGGGAGGAGGAAGUAGACAUAGGUAACAAACCACUAAAAUAUUCUUCAAUUCAUCAAACUGUUUCAAUUACAAGAACAACUAGAUUUAAAUAGUAAAACAAAAAACCUAAAGAUAAGGACUUGGGCCAAAUCCACUAGACAAGCCCAAUGAAAUAAAAAGACAUUAAUAAAUAAAACACGAAGUAAGUAAAAUAAUUGGGUUGCAAGGAAUUGGGCUGUGCGGGUUGAGUAUUAGGGUGAGACUUUGUGGAACAGCACCCUAGCAGUAGCAACAACGAUCGAAAUUCCUCUCCUUUUGUUUCGUUUUUUUCUUAAAUUGCAAAAAAUUCUAAAAUGAAAUUUCAGGUGUGGAUAGUACCCGUAAACAGUAAUUUUUUUUAAACAAAGAAAGAAACUAAAAAAAUGAGAUUUGUUGCUUUUACACAAAAUUCUUCUCACUUGUGUUGUUUCGACAAAUUUUGGGAAGAAAAUAAGAAGAAAUUUUGGAUUAUAAGAAAGAAAUUAUCGAAGGUUCAGCUUUGAUACCAAAUUUGAUACAGGAUAAAUAAGAAAAUAGUAAGAAAAAGGGGAGAACUGGAGAGAAUGGGAGGAGAAAUCGGAGAAGUAGAAAUUCAAGGAGGGAGAGGGGAAGGGAAAGGAAUGAGAUGCCACAACCAAUCUCAAUUCAUCUUAAUCAUCGAACUAAUGAAAUUACAUGGCAAAUUAUGUUUAAAUAGUCAAAACAAAAUCUACCUAAAACGAGCUUGGGCCAAUACAAGCCCAAUUACAUAAAUAGAAUCUAAAAUAUAAAUAAAGUCCAAUUAGAAAUAAAUAAAAUAGAUGAUGUCCUCAUCACUAUGCAAGACCUACACUCCAUGUUAUCUAACCUUCCUAAGCUUAGGUCAAAGUAGUUGAGCAGAAGGCGAGGUGGUUUACGUGUCUCAUCUGAAGUGACUUCACCUUAUCCGAAGUGCCAUGUCCAAGGAAAGGCAUCACAGGUUGCCGAAGUGUAUUUUAUGUUGGAAUUGGCUCAAUAAUAAUUGAAAUUAACCGAAAAUUGGUUAAGUGUAAAACUGAAAAAAUAAAAUUGUGUUAUUUCGUGUCAAUUUCGGUCAAAUAUUCGGAUUUGAUCGGAUAGUCAAAUUACAAAAGUAAAUAGAUCAACUUAUUCUAUUCGUCGAGUAGAUUGUAGUGGUAUAUUUGGAAUUUCGAAACCAAUUCCGAAUGAAUGAGAAAUUGCGGUCCAAAAUUGGAAGAAAUGAAAUAUUGCAACUUUUCGAAAGGAUGCAGGUUUUUUUCCACACUACUUCAUUUGCACCCUUUCUACAUCUAUAAAUAGGACUCUAUGGACGUGAUUUUGAGUACAUAAUUGCAUUGAGCAUCCAUUCUUCUUUUGCAAUUUAUCUUUCUCUCCUUCUUAUAACAUUCCUUUGUAAAGGAAAAAUUCCGUCGUUCUUGUGGUUUUAAAUGCUGCUACCACAAGUGUGUAUCCAUUGUAUCUUGAGAGACAUUUUCCAUUCAAUCGUGAGUAUCGUAACAAGUCAAUUUGUCUUAAGGAAAGAGUUAUGCUCACCUUGAAUUUCUUUUUCUACUCCUUUUUAUUUUAUUUUGGUUUCAUGUGGUCGUUUUAGUCAUAUACUAUGUCAUUACAUUGUGUUCUAAUUACGCUCAUGCGAGUUAGAACUUUUGCUUACAAUAACAGUGUUUUGACUAUGCUCUUACCAGUUGAAACUUUGUUUAUUUACAACAUAUACAACCAUUAUACCGCUAAAAUAGAUACUCGAAACAACAUUUUCGAAGUGAAAAUCCUUUACUUCACAGGGCAGCUUCAACAAACAUUGCUUUAGCCUCGUAUUCCAUAUCAUUAGCAUAUUUGGCAACUCUAUAGAGACACUUUCAAUCAACUUUACAGUUCACUUCUCAGGUGAUAGGCCUAUGACAUAGGAUGGUUACUUACUAGAUCAUUUAAGAUUACCACAAACUUAGGAUAGCUAGGAUUGACACCUAUCAGAGUUGACCCAUGACCCGUUGAGAUGCGACCACGUGUCAGGCAUCCAAUGGACACCAUUUAUUCAUUUCUAAUAUAAAAGUUCACACUGAGUAUCUCCCAUAUAUAAUGCAAUUUCACAUAUCCACAAUAUAUUGUUUGGUAUUCUCUCUUCAACCUAGUUUUUAUUACUUUGUCUAUUCCACACCUAAAAAUAUCUUUCAUCGAUGACUGACUUAAGCAUCAGAGUAUCUGUGGCUGCCUCCCUACCACUUUAGAUACAGGCACGAGCAUCAACCCUUUGUUUAAAUGUGCAGCAAGUACAUGUGAGAGUAGAACAAGGAUUUAUUGACCACAAAUUUUGCUAGUUUUCGAGGUCAAUAAAUUGAUGCUAUUUGUGGAAAAUCACACUUUAAUCAUGAGUGUAUCCCAUGAGGAAAAAGCCUAUCGAAAAAUCAAUCCCAUACCCCUUUGAGAAAAUUAUUGUUCUUGAUGAAAGAGCAAGUGAAGUUUUAAAGAAAAAUCAAGGAAACGUUUAUUUUUAGCUCUUUGAUCCUUAAAGAAAUAAAGAGGUGGUGUAAAAAAUUUUGUUCUUCAAGAAAGAACAAGGGACUUUGAAGAAAUUAACUUAAAGAGACCCAUUUUAAAGAAAAAAAAUGAUGUCUUGGCAAAAUGAGUGGAAGCAAAGGAAAUGGUGUUAACUCACGAAGAAUGGUGAGAGAGAUCUCAGAGGAUGAAGUCUCGCUAACCCAACACAAUCAUCAAGCUCAUCACUUGAAAGGUUGAAUAAUUGGUGCUCACCUCACCAAAAAAGUGGCACCAUGGCUGCUAACAUGAUGAGCACCACUGAGGAGAAUUCCACAAUGCAGCUUCUCCUUUAAUAGAUGCAGGCACAAGCCGGUAUGCAAAUCCCAUCUCAUAUGUCUCACCAAGGUUUCCUCCGAUCCAAUUUUCAAGGUCAAUGAGGAACCAACAAGGGGAAGAGAAACUAAUAUCUUUUAUCUGGAAUGGAAUGAGGCAUCCAAAAUUUCAUCUCAUGAUAGUAAUUGACUUGAUUAUAUACUAUUUACAUAUUUUUGACAAAAAAAAUUUGUAACGUAUUACCGUUUGCUAAUUAUCUCUUAUUUACAUAUUCUAGAAAUCCUUUGUUAUUUUUAAGGUAAUUAGCAAAAUAUAUUUCUAUUGUUUGCAUUCAUUGCGAAAAUAGUCACUAUAAGAAAUGUCAUAUUCAAUAAUCAUAUAAAUGAUCGUAGAAUAUACAUUUUUGGCUGUUGAUCACAUUCAACGAUUAAAGUCAGUUGAUCGUUCGUUGGUGGGCAGGGAGGUGUUGGCGAAUGUGUUCAACUACUAAAAAUAUGUUAGGUCAUAAAUGUAUUAUUUCCCCAACUAAAUAACUGUUCGUAAAAAGUUUGUAUUGACAACCCAUUCUUUUUUCAACAAUCACUUGUUUAGCUGUUGUAUCAACUAUUUUUGUCGUUAAAAUACAAUGAAAGCAACCAAAUUUAGCUGCCUUUCGUUUCAACAACAAAAAAGAUCAUUAAAUAUUAAUUUUAACAACCAAUUAAUUUUAUUUAAGCAAUUAAUUUUUCGUUGUAUUAAUUAUUUUUAUCGAUAAAAUAUCAUUGAAGUAGCUAAGAUUUAUUUGCCUUCUUUUCAACAAUUAAAAAAAAAAGUUGUAAAAAGCUUAUAUUAACAAUUGAAGUAAUAAAACAAUGAGAAAUAUGGUUGUUAAGAGUAAUACUCACAACUUCAUAAUUUUCACACAUUCAUAUCAAACUACCCACAAACAUAAACAAAUAUAAGUAAGAAAAUUAAUUGAAAAUAACAUUAACAAGAACAAAAAAAUUUCUAAGUGUUUCAAUCAAUUAAAAUAUCUUAACACCAACUACAAUUAUAUGUUAAAUAUCAUGAACUAAAUAAAAGAUUACACCAAUUUGAUCAUUGGUGUUGUCAACAUAAAAACAAGCAAAUUUAGAGUUAGAGACAGUUGCCUCAAUUGAAGAAAAAUAUAUUAUUAUUACAACCGUCACCUAAAAUAAAGUUAAACACAUUAAUUAUCACCAUUUAAACCAUUGGAUGGAGAUGCAUUGGGUUGAAUAGGCCAAAGAUAUGCAACUCUUCAGAAAUGCGACUUUGUCUUUGCAGAUUAACUAAGAAUGAAAAUCUUGAACAUCAUUCCAUAAAGCGGCAUUCUCUAAGCAAGAACCACAAUUUUCAGACCAUGGCUUCUUUAGGUUUCUUUUUUAUAACUCCAAAGCCUUGACAUAUCCCACUUUAAACUCAUCAGCUCUAUCCUGAUAGAACAUUUAGAACGAGAUUAAACAUUUCACAAUAAUUAUUAUUAUUAUUUUAAUUUUGAGAAAACUGAAAUAGUGUACAAAAGAAAAAAUAUCACUUAAGUAGUCAUGGAUUUCUAUUUCUCAGCAAACUCCUUUGUAACCUAAUAUUCAAGAAACCAAACAUGUCAUAAUAGAAACCAAGAAUUUAAACGCCCAGUUGAAAGCCUUUAAGAAUUUUACCUCUUUUAUACUUUUGCAAUCCGGAAUUAGUUGCCUUAUACUCUUUCCAAAAAUCAUUUUUGUAAUAAUUAACAUCAAACAAAACAUUAAACAAAUUGCUCAGGCUUAUACAAUACAGAGAAUAACAAAAUGAGAAAUUGUACAUGAAAAGGAAGAAGGAAGUCGAACGGCAAUUUGGUUUAUUUGGAUCUUUGGCUUUCUUUUCCUUUUUUGCUUUUGGAUCUAUAAAUUUUGUUUUCUAUCUGCUCGUCAAUAAAAAACGAGAAGAUAAAAAAAAAGUACACACGAAAAUUAGGGGCUUGUUCGGUAUUGAUUUUAAGCUGAUUAAAAUCAGUUUUUUGAUCGUUAUUUCACUAUUUCAGUCGUCAUUUUUGAAUUCUUUUCUCACAGGUAGGAUCCAUUUUAUCUCUAACGAUCAAAAAAUUAAUUCUCAAAAUCACUACCAAACACCCUCUAGAUUAAAGUGAUAAUAACACUAUACAGUAAGAAAAUACAUUGAGAUUACAUUUUUGCUUGAUUUUUCUUGACCUCACAAGGCAUUUUCACAACCUGAGACCCUAUAUAGAAAUGAGAUAAUUAUUUCAAAAUCAGAAAUUAAAAAUUUCAUGAAAAUUCAACCAUGAGAAAGUCUAUGUUCAUUUUGCAAUUAACUAUUAUACAUCUAGAAAUUGGUCUGACAUCCAUAUAAGACUCGUUUACACAAGUAAAUUGCCAAAAAGAUGAAAUCAUUGGCUCUAUCGAAGGGUCAACAGAUUUCACCAUUCUCAGAUUUUGAUGAAUCUUGUAAUAAUUAGUUUAGGCCCACAGUUGUAAACCAGAAUUCAACCCAUGAAAUUAAUAAUGUACAAAAUUAUCCAAAAGCAACAAUCAAGAAGAAGAAAAGAUGAGGUAAAGGAAGAACAGAUCAAACUGAUGCACCUGAUCGCUCCUGUUGCCAUUAUUAAUCAGAGAACCAUAUUCACUUGUCAAACUUUGUCAAGAAAGAUGCUUCUACUAUUUGCAAAUUUCAUCAAGCACCUAGUGGGUUUAUCUCAAAGCAACAGUGAAUCAAAAAAUUAAUUUAGAAGAUUUUUACUAACCACAAAGGAAAUACAAAAAGCCAAUCAUUAUGUAGAUUGAGAAUUAUAAUGAGGAUGAAAAGGGGAAAAAGUCAAAAAACUGAGAAGAAAAGGAAACCAAAAGGAGAGAAAAAAAUAAUGAAACAAAAUUGUCAAAAUAACUAAACUCUAGACAGAAGUGUUGAAAAUUCUUGGUCAUUCUUUAGAACAAUUGAUCAUAAGGGAUGAAGUGUUGAAGACUUAAACUCUAGACAAAAUACUCUGCAAUAUUUGGGGAAUAACUCUUAUUGAAUUCAAAGAAAGCUUUCGGCUAAUAUAGCCUCACAAACUAGAACAGGAAAUAAGAAAAUAAUGCCCACGUUGUACACUCUUAUGAACGUGGUAUUCUAGUUGAAGACUAAAUCAAACAACACAACACGACCCUGACAAAUAGGGUUUAUUAACAGAAAGAUAAACAAACAACCAAAAGACUUUGACUUCUUCAACAAUUUCCUUACCUAAAUUGAUUUGCAGUCUACAAACAGUUUAUCUUUGGUACUACAUAUACACCAAUUUGCUCUUGAAGCCUCAAGAACACAUCAAGCUUCAAUGGCUUGGUCAUAACAUUAGCAACUUGAUUCUCUGUAGCACAAUGAACAAGUUCCAAAACUCCAUCUUUAACAAGGUCACGAAGAAAGUGGAACCUUAUGUCAAUAUGUUUGCUCCUCCCAUGUAGCACAGGGUUCUUUGACAACUUUAUAGUAGAGCAAUUAUCAUAGAACACUAUAGUACUCCUAUUUUGAAUGUGACAAGCUUCUCCAGUACUUUCCUAAUCCAAACUCCCUGGCAAGCACAGGAGGCAGCAGCUAUAUACUCUUCCUCAGUGGUGGAUAAAGUCACAAUUGGUUGUUUCUUCGAUGACCAAGCUAUACCUCCAGUUCCAAGCUUGAAGACGUAACCAGAAGUGCUUCUUUGACCAUCUAAGUCACCUGCAUAGUUACUGUCAGUGUAAACCAGCAAAAUCCCAUCUUUACCCUUCUUGUAAAAGAUCCCAAAAUCCAUAGUGCCUUUCACAUAUUGAAGCACUCUCUUUGCUGCUUGUAAAUGCAGUUCAGUGGGACUCCCCAUGUAUCUGCUAAUUAAACCAACAACAUACAUUAGUCAGGCCUUGUUGUAGUUAUAUACAUAAGCCUCCCAAUUAUUUGCUUGAAAGCAGUGGCAUCAACUUUAGCUCCAUUCUGAUCCUUCAUCAACUUAUUGUACAAUAGGGUUCUUGCUUGAGUUGCUAUUUGCCAACCCAAACCUUUCCAACACAUCUCGAGCAUACUUCUCUUUGACUGAUGUAUAUCCUAUCUUCAUUUUGUGAAACGUCAACUCUAAGGAAGUAUCUCAUCCUUCCAAGAUUAAUCAUUUCAAACUCGAGCACCAUAGAUUUUUUAAACUUAUCAAACAUCUCCUCAUCAUUACUAGUAAAUAUAAGAUCGUCAACAUACAAACUAACAAUAAGAAGUUUACCUUCCUUAUCGGACUUGAUAAACAAUGUAUGCUCAAAAUUGUACUUUUCGAAGCCCUCCUUCAUAAAAUAAGACUCAAUCUGGUUGUACCAAGCCCUUGGAGCUUGCUUAAGACCAUAGAGCUCCUUCUUUAGCUUGUAGACCUUGUCUUCCUUUCUUUUUCUUUCAUAACCUCGAGGUUGAUCCACAAAAACUUUCUCAGUCAAUUCACCGUGUAAGAAGGUACUCUUCGCAUAUAGUUGGUAUUCCAGCCCUUUUGAGUUGUAAGAGACAUCACCAUUUUGAUAGUGUCCCAUCUUGCAAUUGGGGCAAACACCUCAUUAUAAUCAAUUCCAUCCUCUUGUGCAUACCUUUUAGCCACGAGGCUAGCUUUCCACUUGUCCACAGCUCCAUGCUCAUUAGGCUUUGUUUUAAACACCCAUUUCACACCAAUUUUCUUAUCUCGAGCAGGUCGAGUGGUCAACUCCCAAGUCCCAUUCCUUUCGAUAGAUUCAAUUUCAAAUCCAUAGCUUUCUUCCACUUUGGAUUUUUGAUAACCUCCUAGAAUGUAAUAGGGUCGACAAAAACAAACAUGACACCAUCUUCUUCUUCUUCAGAUAAACCUAAGUCUUCACCAUCAACAUAGUCUUCCAACCAAGGAGGCCGUCUUCUAGUCCUUCGCCGAUCUGAGCUUGGUAAAUUUUUGUCAAGAGGCUCAUGUGAUGAUGAGCUAGCUCCACUUUCUUCUUCUUCAAGCACAUCACCCUUACAUUCUUCAUUGCUUUGCUCACUACCUUCAUCAUUAUCUCUCCAUUCUAAAACGUCAAGCCUUACUCCUUCUGCACUUCUUUCCUAAUUCUAGCACUCAUUUUCUUCAAAAUCUACGUCCCUGCUUACCACAAUACGUUUAGCAAGAGGGUCAUAAAGCCUAUAGGCCUUUGAUUCAUCACUUCUUCCCAACAACACACACGGAGAACUCUUAUCAUCUAACUUCACCCUCUUGUCUGUCAGGAAUGUGUAUAUGUGCAAUACAUUCAAGCACUCGAAAAUAGUUUACUAUAGGCUUGAUAUCACUCCAAACUUCUUCUGGUGUCACAUCCUUUAAGGCCAAAGUUGGGCUUCAAUUUAACACAUGCACACUCCACUUCGUGGCUUUUGGCUAAAAUAUUUUAGGAACCUUCUUUUUAGACAACAUACUUCGAACCGUAAUCAUUAUGAUUCGAUUCUUUCGCUUAACAACCCCAUUUUGUUGGGAUGUAUAGGUUGCCAUCAACUGCCUUCUACUACCAUUAUUUUUUUACAGAAAUGAUUGAACUCAGAAGAUAUAAAUUCAUCCCUCCCAUCUAUGUGCAAAUUUUUAUGAAUUCACUAAAUCUUUUUGCCGUUUGACAUUGGUUUGAUUGGUUUACAAAUGUCAGCGUGGACUAGUUGCAACCUUUGAAAAGCCCUCCAUGAGUUCCUCCUUGGUAUGGUCCUUCAAUGUUGUUUUCCCACUAGGCAAUCAGUGAAUAUUUUACUCGAAGUCUUACAUACAGGCAUACCCUUCACCAUCUUCUUAUAUUGUAACAUUCUCAAGCUCUUAAAAUUUAGGUAACCAAACCUGCAGUGCCAUAGGUGUGACACCUAAGGCUGUUUGAAAACAACCAGAGACACAAGGUAGUGUAGUAGCUAGUAGGAAGAGCAUUCUGUUUGCAGACAUUGUACUCUGCAUGAUCAGACCUCUAAUUGUGGAUGAUACAACUUACACGUUCCUUCCUGAAUUAGGAUGGUAAGGCUUUUAUCUUGAAGCUAUCCGAUGCUAACCAGGUUGUUCUUUGACCCUGUUAUGUAGUACACUUCUGUAAUCACUAGUGUAAUCCCACCAACCUCCAUCCUUAUGCUUCCUUUUCUAGUGACUGCCAUACUGGUGUCGUUCCUAAGUUUUACAGAAUGUUUGAAACUUUCAUCAAGGUGUGAGAACCAUUUCUUGUUCCCACUCAUAUGGUUACUACAACCAGAGUUAAGGAACCACACAUAUUCUCUUCUUGAGUUGUUAAGUUCAACAUACGACAUUAACGGCAUCUCAUCUUCCUCCCCCAACUCAACAUAGUUUGCAUUCUUUUCCCAACUUGGACACUCGUAUUGAAAGUGUCCUAGUUUGUGGCACUUGUAACAUUUCACAAUUUUUUUGUUGAAAGGCUGUCUUCAUCUGCCUCGGCCUCUUCUUCUAUAAGCUCCACGUCCCCUUCCUCUACCUCAAACUCUGUCCUGAUAUGAGACUUUGAGUACCUAUUCUUCACCACUUCUAUGCCCACUCAUCCUUUGCUCAUGUAGUGGCAAGCUACUCUGUAAAUCAUCGAUUGCUAGAGUGACCAAAUCAUUAGAUUCUUCCACUGUACACACGAUAUAAUCUAAUUUCGAAGUUAUGGACCUCAAAAUUUUCUCAAUAAUAACAACUUGAUCCAUCUUCUCACCAUGUAUCUUCAUCUUGUUAGCAAUGGUGAGAAUACGAUCAAAGUGCUCAUCCACUCAUUCUUUUUCCUUCAUUUGCAGGACCUCAAACUCUCUUCUUAGAGCUUACAAUUAUGCUCGCUUCACCCUUGUUGAACCCUGAUAUUUUUGCUUCAUCUAGUCCCAAAUUUGCUUCGCUGUAUCCUUGACAAGAAUGGUCUUUAUAAUCUUCCGAUCUAUAGCCCGAAACAAAUAAUUCUUGGCCUUCAAAUCUUUCAACUUCGGAUCCUCUAUUAGCUUGCGUUGAGCCCCAAUCAACACUGCUUCCUCUGGUGCUGCAGCUAUUCUAUUAUCCACUAAACUCCAAUAUUCCUUUGAUCGAAGGAAAUUUUCCAUAAGCAUUGACCAAUGAUGAUAAUGGCCAUCAAACUUAGGAAUUGCAAGCUGAACAAAGUUGUUUUCUGUAGCUAUACUUCGAUCACGGACACUUGUUCCUUUUUCUAUCUCUUGGUUAGGCUCCUGUGAUGAGGCUCUGAUACCAAAUAUUUGUUGAAGACAUAAACUCUAGACAGAAUACUCUGUAAUAUUUGGAGAAUAACUCUUAUUGAAUUCAAAGAAAGCUUUCGGCUAAUAUAGCCUUACAAACUGGAACAGGAAAUAAGAAAAUAACAACCCACAUUCUACACUCCGAUGAAUGUGGUAUUCUAGUUGAAGACUGAAUCAAACAACAUAGUAUGACCCUAACAAAUAGGGUUUAUUAACAAAAAGAUAAACAAACAACUAAAAGACUUCAACUUCUUCAACAUGAAGAUGAGAGGGGCCACUCAUAUGUUGGAUGGUUUAACUGGUGAAAAACGAAUUGAGUGAAAGAAAAGAGACGAAAAGUGAAAAUUAGACUUGGAAACGAGAAAGUAAACAAUUGGAAAAAUUGGGUGGGAAAUUGGAUUUCAAGAAAAACCUAAUUUUUGUUUAAGGCUUUGAGUAACAUUUUUCAAAAAAAUAAAAUAAAAAUGCAUUUGAAUUAGUGUUAUGAUGGAAAAUGUAUGGUUAAAAAAAUAAGAUUUUUUUUGAAUUUGCGUGUAAUAUUAUUUUAUUGAAAAAUGUGUGUUUGAAAUGAUGUCAAAUCACUGUUGAAGAAUGUAGUUUGAUAAAAAAAGGGGACUCAAACAAGGGCGAAAUAUGUUGGGGGAAAAAUAGGCGGGAUCUUUUAAUUUUUCAAUAUUUUGAGAGAAAUGUUUAUAUUUUAACAACUACUAAGAAAUAGCCAUUGAAUGUCGAAUUUUCAUUUAGUUUUAACAACAAAGUAUAAUUAGUUGUUGUGAGAAGUAAUUCCAGCAAUAACUAAGGUGAUAUCGGAUUCAGUUUCCACCAUAUAUCGACACAACCUCGAUUGAGACAACACCCAACUUCCACUUCCUUUCUUCCCACAUAUGGUUGCUAUCUAUACUCACAAAGAGACGGCCAAGAUGAAGAAUAAUAUAGCCCAAGAGAAACCACACAGGUUAUAUGAAGGAAAGAGGCCGAGAAUCAAUGUCACAUAAAGAGAUGGAGUGUUUUUCAUAGUGGAGGCAUGGAGGAGCCGUAGGUUAUAAGCUAAAUGAGUGACCAAAAAAUGGUAAGUUAGGUUAGGUUAACUUAGUGGUCCAAACAAGGCUCAACACAAGGUAAUGGGCUCCAAAUGAAUACCAUUGCCCUCCAAGUAAAUGGGACGGACCAUGAGCAACAAUAUUAAAAUAGGUUGCUUCUAACGGUCCAUAGAGAAUUGGAUUCGGUUGUCUCGAUGAUAGUGUCGACAUAUAAUUAAAUCAUACGGCCAAUGCCGAUUGAUAAUAAAUAAAACCGAUGUUACAUCAUUGUCCGGGAGGUCGUUUGACAACAAAUUACCUAACAACCUUCACCUUGGUGUCAAAGGACCUGCAAAAGAAAAUGUCUCCUAAUAGUGACACCUCUAAUAGAAAAUCAAUAAAAUUGAAAAUCAUUUACCUGUACCAAUGUUUAGAAGUUUCUUGUAACUUCUAAACUUUGCUAGUGGCAGUACUUUCGUCCCCAUAUCAAAAGGAUUGUAAUGGAUGUGGACCUUUUCAAGUCUUACUACCUCUUGAGAUACUAUAUCUCUAAUGAAGUGGAGUCUAACAUCAAUGUGUUUAGUGCGCUCGUGAAAAACAGGGUUCUUGCACAAAUGUAUAGAUGACUGACUAUCAAAAUACACUACCACAUAAUCAUUCAAGACACAUAGUUCAUGAAGUAGGCCUCUAUGCCAUAGAGCUUCUUUAAUAGCUUCAGUGGUGGCAAUAUAUUCUGAUUUUGUAGUGGAUAGUGCAACAAUGUGUUGUAACUAUGAUAUCCAACUAACACAUGAAUUUGAUAAGGUAAAUACGUAAGACGAAGUGGAUUUUCUACCCUCCCUAUCUCUUGCAUAAUCAGUAUCUACAAAACCCUUUACUUUUGUACCUUCUUUAUUAGCACUAAACUUUAAACAUACGUCACUCGUACCUUUCAAGUACUUUAAUAGCCACUUUAACGCUUCCCAAUGUUCAGGGCCUGGAUUAGCCAUGUACAUACUGAGAGUACUAACAGCAAAACCUAAAUCUGGUCUAGUGCAAACCAUCAAAUACAUUAUGGAACCAAUCACAUUAGAGUAAGGCACUCUACUCAUAUAUUCUACUUCACGCUCAUUGCAAGAAGAUUGUUCCUACGAUAAAACAAAAUGAUUAUCAAGAGACAACGUGACAGGUUUGCAAUCACUCAUAUUAAAUUUCUUCAAUACUUUGGAUAUGUAUGAAGACUGAUGCAAGAACAAAAUGGAAUUUGACCUAUCUCUUUCUAUUUCCAUGCCUAGGAUUCUCUUAGCCUUAUCUAGGUCUUUCAUGUCAAAUUCACCACUUAGUUUUGCUUUUAUGUUAUUUAUCCACUUAGAGGAUGAUCCAAUCAAGAGCAUGUCGUCCACAUAGAGCAACAAAAAUAUAUAAUUAUCAUCAGUCUCAUUGUGUUGAAAAUACAAGCAAUGAUCAAAUUUACUUCUUUGCAACCUUAUAGUGAGUACAAAGGAAUCAAAUCUCUUGUACCACUGUCUAGGAGAUUGUUUUAACCCAUACAAGGAUCUUCUCAGAAAACACACAUAAUCCGAUUUUGACUUAUCCUUAAAACCUUUUUGUUAAUUCAUGAAGAUUUGUUCAUCAAACUCACCAUGUAAAAAAGCAGUUUUUACAUCAAGUUGUUCAAGUUCCCAGUCAAAGUGUGUAGCCAAUGCGAGCAUGAUACAUAAUAGUGGUGUACUUAACAACUGGUGAGAAAAUCUCAUUAUAAUCAACGCCCUCCUUCUGUGUGUAACCUUUAGCCACUAACCUAGCUUUAAACCUUAAGGGUUCCGAGCUACUAGUACCUUCCUUAAUCUUAAAGACCCAUUUGCAAUCAACAAUCGAUUUGUUCUUAGGCCUAGGUACCAGCUCCCAAGUAAGAUUCUUUUCUAAAGAACUUAUCUCUUCUUUCAUUGCCUUAAGCCAUUCAUUACAUUGAUCACUGUCUAUCGCCUCUUCAAAGAUUUUUGGCUCUUUAUCAGCUAGUUCUUCAUAACUAGCCUAGGCGAAAGUUAAUUCAGAUUCAAAAUCGAACCUUCUAGGUUCUCUUGUUUGUCUUCUCUCUCUAUCCCUAACUAAGUUGUAGUUAGCUAAAGGAUUUUCUUCUUCAUAGUGCUUUUCUAUCACUACUUAGUUACUAUUCUCCACCUCAGGUUCCUGAACUUAAAUCUCCACCUCAUUAGGAGUAGUAGGGGCAGGUGUACUGAGCUUUCCUAACUCCACCUUAAAUGGGUCUCUCUUUUCACCUGGUUCAAUUUCAGUCUCAGGUUCAAUUUCCCCUUUAAUACACGGCAUCUCAUUCUCGUUAAACGCGACAUUCCUACUUAUGAUGAUCUUAAUCCCUUUUUGGCUUCUAUCCCAUAACCUAUAACCCUUAAGACCCUCGGGGUAUCCUAGAAAGACACACUUCCUAGCUCUAAGUUCCAACUUUUUCUCACUUUGAUAAGAAAAAGCUGUACAGCCAAAAGUUCUAAGUAUCGAGUAAUCACUCAAUUUACUCGACCAUCUCUCAUGCGGAGUGUUACCAUUCAAUGCAGCAGAAGGAGUCAGGUUAAUCAAAUAACAAGUAGUCGUAACAGACUCACCCCAAAAUGACUUGGGAACACCAGAAGUUAACAUCAUGCAACGUACUUUAUCAAGUAUAGUCCUAUUCAUCCUUUCCGCUACCCCAUUUUGCUGAGGAGUGUAAGGAAUAGUCUUAUGUCUAGUUAUGCCGCUUUCUUUACACAUACUAUCAAAUUCAUUAUUGCAGAAUUCUAGGCCGUUAUCUGUCCUUAAAAAUUUGAUUUUCUUGCCAGUUUGAUUUUCCACUUGUCUCUUCUAGUUAUUAAAACUAUUAAAAGUCUCAGAUUUAUCUUUCAAUAGAUAGACCCAUACUUUCCUAGUAUAGUCAUCGAUAAUAGAAAGGAAAUACCUAUUCCCACCCGAUGUGGGAUUACUAAUAGGACCCCACAGAUCAGAGUGCACAUAUUUAAGCAUGCCUUUAGCUCUAUGUACACUCGUGGAGAACGAAGUCUUAUGAUGCUUACCAAGUACACAAUGAUCACAAAAUGACAAAUCUGACACAGUCAUUACCAAACGCACCUUUUUCAUUAAGUAGCUUAAAUCCCUUGAUGCCUACGUAAGCAAGUCUAUUAUGCCAUGUGUGUGUGUGUGAUCAAUCUUGACAGAAGAGAUAGAGGAGUUCAAACUUCUAAUCACUUCCCCAAUAGUAAUAUAGAUAUCGUUUUUGUUAAUUUCCUUAAUGGAAACUAAAGCACCCUUGAUCAUUUUUAGCAUACCGUUUCUAAUUUUACCAGUGAAGUUAUCCUUUUCAAGUCUCCCUAUUGAAAUCAGAUUUCUAGACAAUUCAGGAAUAUAUCUAACAUUCUUUAAUGUGUACACAAAACCUGUGUCAAAUUUUACAUUUAUGUCACCAAUUCCAGCAAUAGUAUAAGCAAAGUUAUCACAUAGCACAACAUGCCCAACAUUAGAUUCAUGCAAUUUUUGAAACCAAUUCUUUUCAGACGUCAUAUGAAAAGAUGCACCAGAGUCAAGUAUCUACUCGUGCAUGCGGGAAUUAGCAGUUAGAUUUAAUUCAGCAGAAUAUGCAAUGGAACUUGUAAUCAUAUAGACCUCACAACCAUCUAUAUCAGAAGUAGAUGCUAACACAUUGACCUCAUCUCUCUCCUUAACCUUUAGCUUACCCUUCUCCUUAUAACAGUCCUUUAUAAAAUGCCCCGUGUUUCCACAACCAUAGCAUUUUCUAGUUUUAGUUCUAGAUUUUGAUCUAGACCUACCUUUGCUUUUCUUUUUCCAUCCAUUACCACUUGACUCGCCACUAAUUGGAUAUCCAUCAUGACUAUUUUGCCUAAAUUGAGUUCUACCCCGCAUCAUAUGUACCUCACCAUUCCUCUUAUCGUGUUUUUAGCCUUAAUUUCCAUUUCUUUACUUUUAAGGGAGUCUAUGAAAAUUUCAGGUGUCAACGUAUCUCUACCAUACUUAAUGGCGUUCUUAACUUCCUUAUAGGAAUCAGGAAUAACAUUGAGCAAAAUUAUAGCCUUACAAGUUUCGGACACAGUCUCAUUACAAUUAACUAUAUCUUGCACCAAUUUGUUAUACACGUCUACAUUGUCAUCAAGAUCCUUUGAAGGAUCCAUUUUAAAAUUGAAAAAACGUUCGAGCAAUUAAAGUUUAUUCGGUAUAGACUUAAGCAAAUAUAAGUCUUCCAAUUUUUUCCAAAGUUCUUUAGUGGUUUUCAGUUUACCCAUCUUUCUUAAAACGACGUCAGACAAGUGUAAAAUGAUUGAGGUAUAAGCAAGCUCAUCGGCUUCUUCUCUUUGUUUUUGUGAAAAAUCAGUUGAAAAAUUACCUUCAAUAGCCUUUGAAACUUUUUGUUAAACUAAAAUGCUCUUCAUUUUUUGUUGCCAAAUAGCAAAAUCACCACUUCCAUUAAAAAUUCCCAAAUCAAAGUUGUGAGUUGUCAUCUUUACAUAAUAGUUAAAGAGUGCACAAAAAACACAAUCAAACCACACAAGGUUUAAGGUUUCAGAUAAUAUACGCCCAGAGUUUCGUAAGACUUGGGGUCUUAGAUCAAGGGAAUGUUUGAAAACGGGUAAGGUCACGGUAAUUCUAAUGGAAUGGAUAAACAGCGAAAAUUAACAAUGCAACAGAAAACUAUGUCUAACAGAUAAUUAGUUUCACAAUAGUUAUAUCACUGAGGCUCAAAUACUGAUUUAACUAAAAUACUCAAUCAAGUAAUCAAGGGCACAUAACCCUAAUUUUUAGCACAAGCAAUGGUUGCCAAGCAAUGGCAACCCUAAACCUAAUGAUCACCCUACACGAUGAUCUGCUAGUGCAAAAAUAUAAAGGUUUCGCCAAUUUACUAGAGCAGACCUAUCUGAGUUUGUAACGUGGAGAGAUACGAAUUUACUGCUUUAGAGCCACCACUAUUCGCCCUAAAGUUUCAGCAAAUAUAACAGUUCGUUCAACAACAAAUUCAAAUUGUAAUCAAGGGCAAAAUCAUCCAGAAUUUUCUGCACAACCUGAAACAUUAAACCAAACACUUUAGUACGUUCAGGGAAUCAAAAUAAUUGAAAUGGCACGAAAAAACCACGCAGAAACUCCUCCACGCGCUGUUACCGGACAGCCACGCGCCGUCGUCGCCGCGCCUCACCACCGAAGGCGCCUCGACCUGCUGAGUCAGAAUCUGCCCUCAGUUUCUUCUACAAGUCAGCCGUUUGUCCGAAAAUAGCAGAUGCAGGUUCGGCCCUUUUGCAAAAAAUCGCGAACCCGUCCCCUUUCUUGGUUGAUUUCUUGCUAGAGAAGAUGACCCAUGCUUUGAUACCAGUUGUGAGGAGUAAUUCCAGCAAUAACCAAGGUGAUACCGGGCUUAGUUUUCACCAUAUAUCGACACAACCUCGAUUGAGACAACACCCAACUUCCACUUCCUUUCUUCCCACAUACGGUUGCUAUCUACACUCACAAAGAGUUGGCCAAGAUGAAGAACAAUAUAGCCCAAGAGAAACCACACAGGUUAUAUGAAGGAAAGAGGUCGAGAAUCAAUGUCACAGAAAGAGAUGGAGUGUUCUUCAUAGUGGAGGCGUGGAGGAGCCGUAGGUUAUAAGCUAAAUGAGUGACCGAAAAAUGGUAAGUUAUGUUAGGUUAACUUAGUGGUCCAAACAAGGCUCAACACAAGGUAAUGGGCUCCAAAUGAAUACCAUUGCUCUCCAAGUAAAUGGGACAGGCCAUGAGCAACACUAUUAAAAUAGGUUGCUUCUAACGGUCCAUAGAGAAUUGGGUUGGGUUGUCUCGAUGAUAGUGUCGACAUAUAAUUAAAUCAUAUGGCCAAGGCCGAUUGAUAAUAAAUAAAACCGAGGUUACAUUAUUGUCCGGGAGGUCGUUUGACAACAAAUUGCCUAACAGUUGUUGUUUUACUUUAUUAACUAUCAGACUUUACGAUCGUCGAAUGUUUUCUUAUGUUUUUAACAAUCAAUUAUUUUGUCAUUGAAUAUAAAUAGACAUUUUGGAGAAUUUUUUUUGAUUUGGCCCCCAUUCACAACGAUCAAUUUUAAUUUAGUCGUAGAAAAUAUGGAAUCAACAACUAUUAUUUUGGUCAUUAUAAAAUAUUUCCAACUAAUUUAAAAUUUGGUAAUUCAUCAUCCUUUUGCUCCAACCAAACUUAAUAUUUAGUAGUUAAAAACAGUUUUUAAUGACCAUAUUGAUCUGGUCGUAAAUAUUAGUUGUUAAAUAUUAUUUUUCUUAUAGUAUCUCUAUAGUUUAAACUUGGAAUUUACACCUUCAUUUUAAACCUUUCUUGCGGAUUUGGUUUUUUGUCAUGUUUCGUGAAAUCUUUACAAAAAAUAUGGGUAAUUGACGCAAAAUGUACCUAUUGUUUUGACUUUUGAUUUAGGCACUCAAAUUGACCAAUAUUAUUAUUAUUAUUAUUAUUUUUGUAUAGAAGGUCCUUACUAUCUAUUUUUUCGUCAAAACAUUGCAAAUUAUUAAUUUAUUCUCCUAUUAAAUUGUUUUACGUGAAACUCUUUUUUUCCCCCCCUCUAAACUUGAAAUUUUAGAUGCAUUUUUUAAUAUUAUUUCUUUCUUUACUAUUUGUUUAUUUAACUAAAGAGGGUAAAUUAGUUAUUUUAUAGUACUUUAAUGGAGAAAAUUAACAGUAAGGACUUUUUGUGAAAGGUCGAUCCGAGUGCCUAAAUGUUAAAAUUGAAACAAUAUGAAUGAUUUGCGCAAUGAAGGCGAACAAUGGUAACGUUCUGUGCCAAUUAUUCGAAAUGAGCAACUGACCAUUUAUAAAGUUGAACCCCAACUUUGAAGGUCCCCACCGCCCCGCCCCUGGAGUAUCGCGAGGGAGGUAUAUCGCGGGAUGUGUCUCAAUAGGCCGGGAAUAAGAAUUUGCUUAUACACUUGUGCCUACAAAUAGUCAAAUUCCAUAUCUCAGGAAUCGAACCCUCACACUGUGGCUGACUACCUCACUCCUGUCCUUUACACCAUUGUGUUAUACCCCGGAGGGCAACAACUGACCAUUUAUGUAUCCACGUUAUGCAUAACCAUUCAAAUAAACAAUUAAAUCUUGAUCUCAUAUACCCAAUGAACGCAAAAUGUUUAUUGAACGUGAAAUGGCCAUGUGUAUUUAAAAGGAUCUAAAUUGUCCAAAAUAAUUCAUUUAUUCUAAAACGAACAAAAUGAUGAUUACAAAUUUUAUUUGGAAAUUAGAAUAAAGUAAAAUUCUCAAUGUUCAUUAUACAUGUCCAUCUAAUUCGAUAUUGACUUUAGAAUCGGAUGCGCUUACCCAGUGAGAAAGGCCUUGAUCCUACCAAUUCCAUGUUGCGCCAUCCAAAAUGCUUUCGUUGGCUCAAGAUGGUUCCACCACGAGACGAAAAGGGCAUGAAAAAUCUCUAUUCUCAUUUGAGGAUCGAUUAUCACGAUCACUUAAGUCAUGUGACUUUUAAAGUCUGAAUAGACGUUUUUUUGCUGAUUGAGACACAUGGAUGCCACGGUUUUAAAAGGGUUGGAGCUCUUGUGUGACACUUAUCCAAAAAUUGGAGACCCUGGUGGAGGUUUUACCUUCUCUUAUUGGCACAAUUUUUUAUUAUAAUAAAGAUAAUACUGUAAUUGAUUUAAUUGCAUAUGUUCACAACACUUUCGUUGACUUGCUAGUUGAUUUUUUCUUUUUCUUUUCUUUUUUUUUCCCCAUAAAAAGUUUUAAAAAAUGGUAAAUUAUUAUAUAUAAAAACGCUGAACAUGAACAUUAUUCACCACUGUAUUAAGUUUUUGUCAUCCUUCUCAUUUCAUCAACUACAUACUUAAAUUACUUUCAAGAAACUCUUUAAAAAUGCUCUAUAGAGUAUGUUUGAUUUUUCAAAUUUAAAAAGCUGAAUCCGCUCUCUUUAGUUAAAUACAUUCAAAAUUUCAAAUUUCAAUGUUCCAAUAUUGACCCAACUAAAUAAUAUACACAAAGAAAAUGAAAAAAAGUAAUAUAAUAAUCUGAAAGGAAGUUGGUAAAAUAGAAGAAGAGAAAAAGCGGUAAAUACAUAUUGUGAGUAAUAAAAUUAAGUGCCGAAGAUAAAUAGGCUGUUUGGAAUAUUUAAAUUUUUUAUUCUCUAUAUGUAUAGAUGCACUCUAAAUUGUAAAAUAUGCUUUUUAAAAAUAAAGAGUUUCUGAGAUAUAUCCUUAUUAGAGAUAAAUUUCUUAAUCUUUUUAUUAAUAUUAUUUUGGCUCCUCAACAUUUAAAAAUGGGAUUUUAGAUUUUUAACUAUUUUAAUUUGUAAGUCCAAAUUUUCAGGUGACGAAAAUCAUCAAUUUGAACAUUUAGUUCGCUUGUUAUUUAAAGAUAGGAGGAUAAAAACGUCUAAGCCCUUAAUUCUCAACUUUCAGCCACGUACAAUUUUAACGUCCACAUUGACUUUCACGUAGGGAUUAAGAUUCACAAAUUUAUAUAGAUUAGAAUCUGAAACCUCAUGAUUGAAGGCGAAGGAAAAAAACCAAUGUUAUCAAAAACAGCUUGACUCGGUUGGCUGGACUAGUAAAAUUGAGAAUUGUGCCCAAAAUUGGGCCAAUCAUGCCUAAUUAACUGCUUAUGACUAAACUGUUUAAAAAUCCACUGAAUCAGUCGAUUUAAUUGUAAAUCGCUGAACCGAUCGCAAUUUUGUUGCUUUCCCCUUUUUUCUUAGUUUAAAAAAUUUCAAUUUCAUGAAUGGACCUCAUAAAUUACAAUUUAAAUGGCCAUAAAGAAAUAUUGGAUGACAAUGAUAAGCUCCUUUUAUAAAUACACAUCUCUCAAAUGGUUUCAUAAACUUCUAAUGUGGGGAUAAUGCAUUUUAUAGAUGCAUUUCUCUCAAUGAUUUCAUAAACUUUCAAUGCCAUACAACAAAAAUGUCAAAAUGACUAUCAAAAUCAUUUUUGAAAUAUAUGUCUAAUUAAUUAAUUUGAUUUAAAUCCCAACUACCUAAAUUGUAAUAUACACGUCAUCUUUUCAUUUAUUUAAUUUUCAAUUUUAACUUAAAUUGCAUUUGAUUAUUAAUAUAUUAAUGUUAGAUAUCAUUUUCUAUAAAUUUAAAUUAUUUUAAUUUAACAAUGCAAACUAUUUUAACAUAUUAAUUUUUAAUUUUUGAAUUAUCGAUAAUAAUUGUAAGAUAACGAAUCUAAUUAACAAAUUACCAAUAUGAAAGUUUAAAAAAAAAAUUCAUUUUUAUAGUAUUUUAUUAUUUUUGUACGCAUUUUUUGUAUUCGGUUUACUCCCAAUGGAACCUUUCACCUUUUUCGGGUCGAUUUUCGAACCAUUGUAAAAAAAAAAAAAAAAAAAAAAAAAAUAAAUGCUACAUUAAUGAACAGUUGAAGAGCCAGGGCUUAAUUUUCCUCACUUAAAUCGAGGACGUGGCAGUUUUACCUCCUCAUGCUUGGACCGUAGGCGCAUUAAAGCAGUUUAAUACGCACGGGGCACGGCUGGCAGCUGCUUGUUCGGAUCCUCGCCCGUGAUAUUUUCUCCGGUUUGAUCCAUUUUAAGCUAGAGUUGCUUUUUCUGAACUGCACGUCCUCAAUCAAUAUUGCAGAUUAUUGAAUUUCACCAAAGUGCGAUGAAGCUGAAUUUUAUUGCGCAGCGGGUUUUGAUGUCAAACGCAUAUCUCAUGCCGUUCUCAAGAGCCCGCAUGUUUUCAAGUUCAUCAAUGUCUGCAGUUAAGAGAUGGGAAGGCGGUGUUUCAAUGAUUCAAGGUGCCUCCAGAGGCAUUGGCCUUGAAUUUGUGAGCCCAUUUUUCUCAACUCCGUAAAAAUGGUUAUUCUGAUUUUAAUUUUUGAUCUGGAUAUGGGCUUUGACAUUUUUUUCAAUUGUACACUGUUUUUUAUCUGCUUGGCAUAAAAUCGGUGUGUAAGAGGGACAAAAUCACUGCAUACUGCAGUGCGAAUUGUAAAUUAUUCUCGAUAAGCUAUAUAUAUUUCUUGGAACGACUGAAUUUUUGUUGUUUUAGUAUUUGCCUUCAGGACUUAUGAUCAGGGCAGAUUAUUCUUUUCUUCUUGAUAUUGCUAUUUUAAACUUACAUUGCGUGCAGUCGUGCACAAUCUUUAUUUUAUUGACUUAAAUGUUUUUCUACACUGCUUGUGAUUAUUUGGGAAGUUGACAGUUGAUUUCUAAACUAUCUCCUUUGUUAGAAAUCAUAAAAGUCAUAGUUGUUAAGGUUUGGGUCUUUGAAUUUCCGAGCAGAAAGAAGAAUUUAUCCCCUUAUUUGUCGUCUUCCAUUGUUGCAGUCUGCAUGAAAUUACAUAGAAAAAUAGGAAUGAAUGACAACUUAUGGUUACUUUUGAAUUAUAACCCUGUUAUUUCCUCGUAUAGGUUAGACAACUGUUGGAGAAGAAUGACAAAGGCUAUGUUGUUGCAACGUGUCGAAAUCCUAAUGGGGCAACGGGACUUCUGGAGUUGAAGAAUAAGUUUGCUGAACGCCUUGAUAUUCAUCAGUUGGAUCUUACAAUUGAAAGCACUAUGGAGGUAUUCUAGCUCUCUUCCCGUUUGCUGAUUGGAUUACAUAUCAAACUUGAAGCAUAAACUUAUAGAUUAUUUUAUAUGAUAGUAGCACGUUAAGAGCACUUUUUAAGCUUAGCCAAACCCAUUGCUGUCCACUGUUAAGUUUUAUAUACACUCAGCGGACCUCUCGGGCUUGUUUUUAUCAUGAAUGCUUUACAUUUCAUACUUUGUAUACGUCAAAUUUCAGGAAACAGCGAAGUGUUUGAGAGAGAAAUAUGGUUAUCUGAAUCUUCUUGUUAAUGCAUCUGGCAUUCUUUCAAUACCAGAUGUUCUGAAGCCAGGUAGAUAUUGUUUAUUGAUUUCUCAUUUUGGAUUUUUUGCAUUUCAGUGAAAGCAUAAAAAUGAUCUAAAAGGCAUAAAGCAGAAUCAGAUUUUAACUUUGUUCCUUAUGAAAUUGGACUGAUUUUUAACGUGUUAUUAUAGUUAGCUUACUGGUUUCCAUUCUAGACUUGGUAAAAUGAUUUUCUUCACUUCCAGUACAGAAACAACGUUGAGCAAAGUAGAGAGAGCAUCCUUGCUUCUUGCUUAUGAGAUCAAUGCUGUUGGUCCUGUUUUGGUUGUCAAGGUCUCUCUCUCUCUCUCUGUAUUUUUUAUUUUUUAUUUUUGAUUUUUUUAAGAAAGAUAUGAUAAAUUAGGUUUAGGUUUGGGUGCAUUGUCUUAUUAAGUCCCUGUUAGAUCCCUGUUAUUCUCCUUUAAUCUACUAUUCGAAAAUACAUUUUUAGCCAAAAAUUGAGCUCUAAAAUGCUCUAAGCAAUUAUUUUAGUUUUAAAGGUACAUUGUUUCAGAUACAAAUGAUCUUCGGCAGAAAUCAUAUUUCCAACUCAGAAAUUGAAUAUAUCUUCAGUUACUUGUAUUUAUUUCAUUAGUAUAUAGCAUAGACGCAUAUUAUAGUUUGAUUUCUUACCAAGAAUUGUAUUGCAAUUUCUCGAGACAAAGUUCCUCUGUUCUCAUUCUUGAAGAAAAAUGGUUUCGAUCCUUAUAUUCUUGCAUUGAUUCAGAAACUUAUUUAUGUAACUAAUUCUACUGUUUAUGAUUCGUAUGAACAGCACAUGUGGCCCUUGCUCAAGGUUGAAGGUGGCUCUGGGAUGAAUAGAGAUUUUGCUAUCGUUGCCAACAUCAGUGCCAGGGUUGGAUCAAUUGGAGAUAAUCGUCUUGGAGGAUGGCACUCAUAUAGGGCAUCUAAGACUGCACUUAAUCAGCGUAUGAAUCUUUGCUAUUUUCUGGGACCCUCGUUUGGAUUUGGCAUUUUCUUUCUCAAACUAUAAGGGUGUGUUUGAUUACAUUUAUUUUCCAUGGAAAAUAUCCGUUUUCCACCCAAAUUUCUACUUGAAGUGUUUGAUUGCUAUUUAUUUCCAUGGAAAAUAUUUUCCAACUUUUGAAAAUAUGCCUAAUUUUCUUUGUUUUUAAGGAAAACUUUUUCCUUGAAUAGAGGUGGUUUUUAUUUUCCACAAAAGAUGGAAAAUAUUUUUUUUCUAUGUGAUAUUUUCUAUGUCAAUCAAACACACUCUAACUUCUCUGAUUUUGUGUCUUAUGCGUCUUAAAUCUCAAACUAGAAAGUAACAAGAUAAUUUUUUUUUUUAGUUAGGAAACUAAAUGAAAUGUAAGUGGGUUUCUUUAUAGUUCAUUUUAAAUGUAUAAUCCUCUUGGCUCGAAUCUGAAAAGAAAUAGAGAUUAUGUUGGUCCUCUUAGUAAUGUUUCAAUGCUAAAAGUAGCGUCGGCUUCUGAAUCUUAACCAAAUUCUAUCGAUGCUUCAAUGCUUGCAGUGACCAAGACUAUCUCUGUGGAAUUUGCACGCAAGAAAGAUCCAAUUAUAUGCAUUUUAUUGCAUCCGGGCACGGUAGAUACUGAUUUAUCUAGACCAUUUCAGGGAAAUGUUCCAGAAGGCAAGCUCUUCACCAAAGAGUUUUCCGUCCAGAAGCUGUUAAGCAUCAUUAACAAUGCUAAGGGAUCAGACAAUGGCAAGUUUUUUGCCUGGGAUGGUCAAGAAAUUCCGUGGUGAUUUUAUCUAUAUUUUGAACACAUCAGUGUAAAUCAAUAUCUUGUGAAGAUCUGUAUCUUUCUAUAAAGGAUCAUCUCUUGCCGGGAAUUCUUUAAAAGAAGAUCUGCCGAUCAUCUUGAAGUGUCCUCAUUUUUUUCUGAGAAUUUUCAUGUCAUUGUUCUGGGUUAUAUAUAUAUAUUUUUUUAUCAUGGCACGUUCUUGUAAGAAAAUAACUAUGAUAAUACAUGAGAAAAUAGUCGAAUCCACUUAUUUUGGUUAAGUGACUACUCUGGAAGUAAUUGAACGAAAGAAGGUAUGGCUCUUGUGUCUUUUCCUUUUGUUCUUCGCCCUGUGAGGGCAGAACUUCACUUAUCGCGCAUCAUGUCAUUGGCUAAUGAAUCUUAAGGAUUACCAGAGCCAACUAGAAAGGUAAUGAAAUACUGUAGCAUGUGCAAUAGAUGAAAUUUCGCUUGAUUCUAAAUAGGAAGUUAAGUCCAUAGUGUACAAUAUAACAGUGAAGAUUUGCACAAAACAGUGCGUCUUAUUCAACAGCUAUUGCAUUCUCAACAUCACCGCAAUCUUCGAUCAUCUCCGAAGCGUGCACCUCAGUGGAUCCUGCAAAUUGAGUAUCGAUUUUAGACCUUUUCAUAUACAAAUUAGUAGGAUACAUAAACAGGAAAUUCGAUCAGAUGGUGCUGGCACCUACGUUUCACAGUUGGUGUGCAUGGAAACAGGGAAACCAACUUUGAUCUUGCAAGCAUUGGGGAUCUGGCUCAAGAACUUUUCCUGAACUCCGGCAAAGUUCUUGACGCCGGCCUUGAGGCACCGGCAAAUGACCUUCUUGUCAUUGACAGAUUUCACGCUCUGUGCGAGCUGUUGCAGGCCACUGCAGCAUGCAGCAGACGGCUUUGCAGCCUUCCCAGUGGCGAACGAGAUACAGGCAGCUGCCUUCAUGUCGACUGUGCCACAUGGGAUGGCUGCAUUGCUGAAAUGAGCAAAGCAGUAGAGAAGGGAGAGGACAAAGACCAUGGAGAAGACAGCACUCUUCAUUUCUUGUAUUUGGUGUUGAGUAUAUUGGGAGUCUUCAAAUUUUGAAGGAUAUUGUAUUGAUGAAGAGGGUUGGGGGAUCAUUGGGUUUAUAUAGAGAAGGCCAGGGUGAUUUUGAACAUUGGGUUGUGUAAAUUGAGGUUUCCAAUACCAUCUGAUGGAUAAAAUUUAGCAGGUGGGCUCAUUGGGGUUGACUUUUGCAGCAUCUUUCAUUAUUCAUGCAAAAUUUGUAGGACUCGAUAUCACAUGUAUCAAGUAGGGGGUGGGAGGUGGGGGGUGAAAACGACAUUUUAAUCUUAAGGGCCUAUAAUUUAAUGUCGUUAGUGCUGUCAUCUAGACUGGUGAAACAAUAUUCCUUUGGGAAAAUUUAAUUUGAAUGUGCAAAUUUUGGCUUGAUUAUGCUUAAUGUGGUCUCAUUAGGGUUAGUGGUUCACAAUUGGACGAGUUGAUAACCGUGACAUGCAUCAGUGUUAGAAAUAGUUCUUAAAAACUUAAACUUUAAGAUAUCACAUUUAUUUAUUAAGCUCAUAUUUGAUAGAAACUAAAAAUAAAAUUUUAAUUUAAGUAAAAGUUAACAACUAAUAUUAAUUACUCAUUUUAUGAGGCUCACGACUUUUCGAUCACAUAUUUAAUCAAAUCUACUAGAAAUCUAAUUUUAAUUCUGACUAAACAUGGGCUAAAUUUAGAGUUCAAACCCCCAUUCAGAUUCAGUUUUAUCAUUAGAAGCCCAAAAUGCUCAAUUUCGCAAAUUGAUAACAAUGAAAAUCAAACUCAAUGUUUUGGACGCUCUAACACGAUGUUGGACCAUCUCAUUUAAAAGUUUAAACUAUAGAGAUUCUAUUUAUUUAUUUCAUUUUAGUCUUCAAAAACACGUAAUCAUUUUGACCCUUUUUGACAACUAAAUUCUUAAUCUUUAAAUUUCGUAACACUUGAUAGAACCAUUAGUUUAAAUUAUAUAUAUUUUAGUUUUACAUAAACUAAAUAAAUUUAUUACAAUCAACUAAAUCUUACAUGGUGGUGCCUAUUCUAGGGCCUUGUUCAAAUGGGUAAAGAUACUUGUCGAGGGCCACAUAGGCUCUGGAUAGGCACCCCCUAUAGGUGUAGGGACGCCAUGUCCAGGGCCCAUGUGGUCCUAGACGUAUAGCACCUCCCUUGUUCAAAUUCCAUGUUUUUAUUCAAUUCCAAACCAAUGUCCCUGGAUGCAUCCCCAAAAUCUACUUAAUCUUAGCUAGAGUAAGUGAAAUAAUCUACCAAACCCAGAAAAUCAAAUUCCAUUCCAAUCAAUAGUUUGGAAGUAUGGCUGAGUGGCUGCCUUUUUGUUAGCAACUAGCUUUCAUGAGAUUACAUAACACUCUUUUAUCAAUCAUAUAUGGUAUUCAACAAUAUCUUAUUCAUGUGUUCAAGGAACAUCGUGUUGGCUUUGAAGCAGCUGCAUGCCUUUUGAUUUUGCAAAAUAUUGAAUCUCAUGCUCCAAAGUCCUAUCAAAAAGGCAAAUAGUUGAUCCCCCCAAACUAUGCGCUUCAUGCUGAUGCUUAGAGCCUUGAAAUAUGAUGACAUAUUUUCUUCCAUUCCUUCGGCCUUUUCUCUUAAACAAGAGAUCAAAGUGAUCCUCUUUCGUUUUUCCCAAUAAGUGGAUGGCUUUGCACCAUUGGAUAUUUGGACUAAACUGUAGUACAUAUAAGAUACACUGGCUACCCAAAGAAGGGGGAAAAAAAAAAAAAAAAAAAAAAGGGGCCGGAUUUAUUAUCCACUUAAAAGAUUUCACCAACAAAAAUCAAAAUUUAUAAAAAAAAAAAAAAAAAAAGUUUUGUUUUAAAGGGGAAAAAAAAAAAAAAAAAAAAAAAAGGGGUCCUAACAAUGGAGAUUUUAAUAUCUCAAUCGUAAGGAAAUUAUGACCUCACUUGAGUUUACUCAUGUUAUAUAGUUAAUUUAGUUGAGACAGGGAAGCCAACUUUAAUCUUGCGAGCAUCAGCAAAGUUUGAGCCAUUUCCCUCCUCUCAUUGCUAGGCAAUUAGCCUAUUUUUUCUAGAUAGCUAUUAAAACUUGAGAUCCCAUCUCAAAAGGUUAAUCUUAUUAAGAAUAAUAGCUCAAAAUCUUAUAAAUUGGUCUAUAUUUUUAUUUUUAUUCCAUGUGAAGUUUUAUUCCUUAACAUACCAUUGCAAGAUGAUUGUUCGCUUGAACAGAUCAAUUUUGAAAGGGAAAAAUUUAUUUCUAAGAAAGUAAGUAUACCCCUUUCAAAAUUAAGAACAAAGGUUUAAAAUUUCAAAAAUUAGAUUUUUUAAAAUUUUAUUUGUAAAUUAAUUUAUUAAGCAUAUAUUUUAUUAAUUUAAUAUAAUUAGUUCAUAGUUUUUGGACAUAGAUUAGUUUUUAGUCACAACUUAUCAAAUUAUUGACCACAACUUAUUUCUCGUUCACAAAUAGAAAAUUUUAUAGGUAACAGAAUAUUUUUCGAUCAUGAAUCCAAAAAUUUUAUAGGCUACAGAUUAUUUAUCAGUCACAUGUUCAAAACUUUAUUGGUCACAACUCAUUUACUCGUUGCAAAUUAUUGGAUUAUUUGGUCACGAUUAAUUUUUCGAUCACAAUUUAAUCAAUCGUGAAUCACAAUUGGGAGUCACAGCCACAAUUUUUAGGUUACGUAUCCAAUUGUAAGUCAAAAUUCACAAUUGGGAGUCAGUCACAGUCACCAACACCAACACUACAAUUGGGAGUCACAGUCGCGGUCCACACAAACAUUAGAUCCUUCGAGAUCCGCUACCACAGCACCUGAAACAACCCACCUCAACACUUCAAACAAACCACUGCCACCCUUUGAAUAUUGCCAACGAACUCCCACCGCCAGAUUAGCACCCACCGCAACACCGCCACCAUACAGACACUGUCGUUGCCACCACGCAAAAUCCACGAUCACCACAGAUCUGGGGAUCUAUAGCGCACUACUACUGCAUGAAAUCUAUGACGUUGCAACUAUCGCAGCGCAGCACCACCAUACAAAAUCCACAACGCUACAACGAAAGGGGAAUCUGCAGUGCACCACUACCAUGCCAUUGCCGUCGCACACACUAUCAUAGCCUCACGCCACCUCCGUCGCACACACACCCACCCCUAUUUCGUGACAGUGGUGCGAGCUGCGCCGACGACAGAGAUGGAGAGAAGAGAGGAAUCGUAUUGAUCUGCACAAGGUGUCCCCAUAUUCACCAUGCCACGUCGUCGUGAUCUACACUGCAUCUCGCGACAGUGGUGCGAGCUGCGCUGCCGGCAAAGAUGAAGGAGAGAAGAGAAUGACGGUGAGAAAAGAGAGAAGAGAGGGAUGGUAAGAGACGGUUUAGAGAGAGAAAAUAAUGGAAAGAUAUAAAUUAGAGUCUGUGCUUGAAAUUAUGUGCUUUAAUUUAUUAAAAACAUCUGAUUUUUGAAUAAACAAACAUUGGGCUUGAUUUGUGAAGUUGGGAUUUUGAACAUAGGAAGGGUGUAAUUUCCACAUUUUGAAAUUUGUGUACUCAUUUAUUUUAGUCUUAAUCAAAUCAAAUUAUUCAUUGGAGUUUAAUCGGCUCCAAUACUAUGUUAUGGCUCAUGGUUUCAUCUUAAAAAAUCAAUCUUGUUAAGAGGGGUAACCCAAAUUUCUAUGUUUUGGUCUAUAACAAUAUUUCACAGAUUUCAGAAUCAUCCAAGAAGAUCUCUAACUCCAGAUGUUUAAAUUCUUCAGCAUCGACCUUAUCUAAUAAUACUUGAGACCCUGUUUGAUAGUCAUUUUGUUUGGAAAGAUUAAGUUUUUGAAUAAUAAAUUUUUUAAGAAAGUGUAGUAAAAAGUAGAAUUUUUAAUUUUUUUUUUUGGAUUUAUAUGAAAAAUAUUUUAAUAUGAGAAUGUGUAAUUGAAAAUGAAUAUAUAUGAAAAAAAGAGUUAUGAAAGAAUUGUUACCAAAUAGGGACCAAGUUUAGUUUGAUAUACAGACUUAUCUUCUUAUCAUUCCACUAUUUUUGUAUUUUGUAGAUUCAAAUUCAUGUAAAAAAUAUCCACUCAAGUGUAUAUAAUGAACACACAGAGCUACGGUUUUGGCAUUGAGGCCACAUCCAUUUUCAAAACUCUUUAAGUACCUACCAAAUUAAUAAAUUAGUUUUACUCUGUGACAUUGCAACUUAUGUUCAAAUAGAGAUAAAUGUUUGAGUAGUCAUGGAUGAAUAUGUCAAAGUGAACAAAACAAUGAACAAAUCAUGACAAACUUUAAAUCAUGAGAGUAAAUCUUCCAGUUUUAUGAAAUUGUCAAGCCAAAAUCCAACAAUACCAAGUUGAUAUCGGGUUAAGUUUCCAACCAAAUCGACACCACCACUAUUGAGACACACCCAACUUUCUUUUUUCUUCGUCCCACCUACUGUUGUUAUUCAUACCCACAAAGAGGUGGCCAAAGUUAGAGCAAUAUCACUCAAGAGAAACCACACAGGUUGCAAGAGAGAAAGAGGCCGAGAAUGAGCAGAGACCGAAUCACAGAGAGAGGCAAAGAAGACGAAAUAUUGGAGGCACAAAGGGACUGAGAAUUAUAGCCCAAGAGAAUGACCAACUAAGGUAAGUUAGGGUAGGUUAACCUUAGUGGCCCAAAAGGCCCAACACAAUGAUAUAGAGCUCCAAAUGGAUAUCGUAGCCAUCCAAGUAAACAGGACGGGCCACGAGCAACACUAUUAAAAUAGGUUGCUUCAAAUGGUCCGUAGAAAAUUGGGUUGGGUCGUCUCGAUGGUGGUAUCGACAUAUGGUUUAGUCAUAUUGUCAAGGCCAAAUGAAAUUAAAUAAAAUUGAGGUUACAUCGUUGUCUGAAGGUCGUUUGACAACAAAUUGCCUAACAACCUCUACCUUAGUGUCAAAAGACCUAUAAAAAGAAAAUGUUUCCCGUUAGUGACACCUCUAAUAGAAAACCAAUAAAAUUGGAAAUCAUUUACCUGUACCAAUGUUUAGAAGAUUCUUGCAACUUCUAAACUUUACUAGUGAUAGCACUUUCGUGCUCAUAUCUGAAAGGUUGUAUUGUGUGUGGACCUUUUCAAGUCUUACCACUUCUUGAGAUACUAUAUCUCUAAUAAAAUGUAGCCUAACGUCAAUGUGUUUAGCGCACUCAUGAAAAACAGAGUUCUUGCAUAAAUGUAUAGACGACUAACUGUCAGAAUACACUACCACAUAAUCAUUCAAGACACAUAAUUCAUGAAGUAAACCUCUAAGUCAUAGAACCUCUUUAAUUGCUUCAGUGGUAGCAAUAUAUUUGGACUCAGUAGUGGAUAGUGCAACAAUGUGUUGUAUCUGUGAUUUCCAACUAACACAUGAAUUAGAUAAGGUAAACAAGUAAGAGAAAGUCGAUUUUCUACCAUCCCUAUUUUUCGCAUAAUCAUCAUCUACAAAAUCCUUUAAUUCACAUCUUUCUUAUUAACACUAGACUUUAGACCUACAUCACUUGUGCCUUUCAAGUAUCUUAAUAGCCACUUUAAUGCUUCCCAAUGUUCAGGAUCUGGAUUAGCCAUGCACCUACUAAGAGUACUAACAGUAAAACCUAAAUUCGGUCUAGUGCAAACCAUUAAAUACAUUAUGGAACUAAUUACAUUAGAAUACAGCAUCCUAUUCAUAUAUUCUACUUCACGUUCAUUGCAAUGAGAUUGUUCUUUAGAUAAAACAAAAUGAUUAGCAAGAGGCAACGUGACAGGUUUGCAAUCGUUCAUAUUAAAUUUCUUCAACACCUCGGAUAUAUAUGGAGACUGAUGCAAAAACAAAACAGAAAUUGGCCAUCUCUUUCUAUUUCCAUGCCUAGAAUUUUCUUAGCCUUACGUAGGUCUUUCAUGUCAAAUUCACUACAUAGUUUUACUUUUAUAUUAUUUAUCCACUUAGAAGAAUAACCAAUCAAAAGUAUGUCGUCCAAAUAGAGUAACACAAAUAAAUAAUUAUUAUCAGUCUCGUUGUGUUGAAAAUACAAACAGUGAUCAAAUUUACUUCUUUGGAACCCUAUCGUGAGGACAAAGGAAUCAAACCUCUUGUACUACUGUUUAGGUGACUGCUUUAAAAAUACACAUAAUCAGGUUUUAGCUUGUCAUUAAAGCCUUUUAGUUAAUUUAUAAAGAUUUGUUCGUCAAGCUCACCAUUUAAAAAAAUAGUUUUUAUAUCAAAUUGUUCAAGUUCCCAGUCAAAAUGCACAACCAAUGCAAGCAUGACCCUAAUAGUAGUGUACUUAACAACUGGUGAGAAAAUCUCAUUAUAAUCAACGCUCUCCUUUUGUGUGUAACCCUUGGCCACUAACCUAACCUUAAACCUUAAGGGUUCCGAGCUACUAGUACCUUUCUUAACCUUAAAAACCCAUUUGCAGGCCUAGGCACUAGUUCCCAAGUCUAACUCUUUUCUAGAGAACUCAUCUCUUCUUUCAUCAUCUAAGUCACUCCUUAGAUUGGUCACUACUCAUCGCCUCUUCAAAGGAUUUUGGCACUCUAUUGACUAGUUCUUCGUAACUAGCUGGGCGAAGGCUAACUCAGAUUCAAAAUCUAACCUUCGAGGUUCUCUCAUUUGUCUCCUCUCUGUAUCCCUAGCUAGGUUGUAUUUAGCUAAGGGGUUUUCUUCCUCAAUGUGCUCUUCUAUCACUACUUUAUUACUGUUCUCCAUCUCAGGUUCUUGAACCUGAAUCUUCACCUCAUUAGGAGCAGUAGGGGUGGGUGUACUAAGUUUUCCUAACUCCACCUUGAACCGAUCUCUCUCUUUACCCGGUUCAGUUUCACUCACAAGUUCGAUUUUCCCUUUAAUACACGGCAUCUCAUUCUCGUUAAAUGUGACAUCCCUACUCACGAUAAUCUUGACCUUUAUUUUAACUUCUAUCCUAUAACCUAUAACCUUUAACACCCUCGGGGUAUCCUAGAAAGACACACUUUUUAGCUCUAGGUUCUAGCUUUCCUUCACUCUGGUGAGAAAAAUCAAUCCAGCCAAAAGUUCUAUAUAUAGAGUAAUCACUCAGUUUACCCGACCAUCUCUCAUGCAGAGUGUCAUCAUUUAAUACAGCAGAUGGAGUCAAAUUAAUCAAAUAACAAGCAAUCGUAACAGCCUCACCCCAAAACGACUUAGGGACACUAAAACUUAACAUCAUGCAAUGUACUUUAUCAAGUAUAGUCCUAUUCAUCCUUUCAGCUAUCCCGUUUUGUUGGGGAGUGUAAGAAACCGUCUUAUGUCUAGUUAUGCCAUUUUCUUUACACAUACUAUCAAAUUCAGUUUUGGAAAAUUCUAGACCGUUAUCUGUCCUUAAAAAUUUGAUCUUCUCGUCGGUUUGGUUUUCCAUUGGUCUCUUCCAGUUAUUGAAGUUAUGGAAAGUCUCAGAUUUAUCUUUUAAUAAAUAGACCCACACUUUUCUAGUAUAGUCAUCGAAAAUAGACAUGAAAUACAUAUUCCCACCAGAUGUGGGAUUACUAGUAGGACCCCACAGAUUAGAAUGCACAUAUUCAAGCAUGCCUUUAACCUUAUGAACACUCAAGGAGAACGAUGUUUCAUAAUACUUAACAAGUACACAGUGAUCAUAGAAUGACAAAUCUGACACACAUUCAUUACCAAAUGCACAUUUUUCAUUAAGUAGCUUAAGUCCUUUAAUACCUACGUGUGCAAGUCUAUUAUGCUACGUGUGUGUGAUCAAUUUUGGCAGAAGAGAUAGAGGAGUUCAAACCUCUAAUCACUUCCCCAGCAAUGAUGUAGAUGUCGUUUUUCUUAGUCCUUUUAAUAUAACCUAACGCACCCUUAAUCAUCUUUAGCAUACCAUUUCCAAUUUUAAUAUGAAGUCAUCCUUUCCAAGUCUCCCUACUGAAAUCAAAUUUAAUAUAUCUAACAUCCUUUAAUGUGUACACAAAACCCGUAUCAAAUUUUAUAUUUAUGUCACUAAUUCCAGCAAUAGUAUAGGCAAAGUUAUCAUACAGCACAACAUGCCAAGCAUUAGAUUCAUGCAAGUUAUCAAACCAUUUUUUUCAGACCUCACAUGAAAAGAUGCACUAGAAUCAAGUAUCCACUCAUGCAUGCGAUCAUUAGCAGUUAGAUUUAAUUCAGCAGUGUACGCAACGAGACUUGUAAUCAUAUAGACCUCAUCGUUAUCUAUAUCAAAAGUAAAGGAUAACACAUUUACCUCAUUUCUCUCCUUAACCUUUAACUUACUUUUCUCUUUAUGGUAAUCCUUUAUAAAAUGUCAUGUGUUCCCACAGUCAUAAUAUUUUCUAGCCUUAGUCCUAGAUUUUGACCUAGACCUACCUUUGCCCUUUUUUUUUUCCAUCCAUUACCACUCAACUCACCACCACUUUGGUAUCCAUCGUGACUAUUUUGCCCAAACUGAGUUCUAUCUCACAUCAUAUAUAACUCACCGCUCUUCUUAUCGUGUUUUUCAGCUCUAAUCUCCAUCUCUUUACUCCUAAGAGAAUUUAUGACAAUUUCAGGUGUCAACGUUUCCCUACCAUACUUAAUGACAUUUUUAACUUUCUUUGAAGAAUCAGGAAUAACAUUGAGCAAGAUUAUAGUUUUAUAAGUUUCGGACACAGCCUCAUCACAAUUAACAAUAUCUUGCACCAAUUUGUUAAAAACGUCUAAAUUGUCAUCGAGAUCAUUUGAAGAAUCCAUUUUAAAACUAAAAAAAAAAAACGUUCAAGUAGGUAGAGUUUAUUCGGUGUAGAUUUAAGCAAAUACAUCCAAUUUUUUCUAAAGUUUUUUGGUAGUUUUUAGUUUACCCACUUUCUUAAAAUGGCGUCAGACAAGUGUAAAAUAAUUGAGGUAUAAGUAAGUUCAUCGACUUCUUCUUUUUGUUUUUUUGAAAAAUCAGUUGAAAAAUUACCUCCGAUGGCCUUUGAAACUUUUUGUUGGACCAAAAUAUCCUUCAUUUUUUGUUGCUAGAUAGAAAAAUCACCUUUUUCGUUAAAAAUCUCCAAAUCAAAGUUUUGAGUUGUCAUCUUCAUAAAACAACUAAAGGAUGCACAAUAUACAAUCAAACCACACAAAGUAGUAUUAGGGUCACAGACACUAUAUACCGUUCUAGCUUCUCAGGGUUUUAUAAGACUCGCAGUCUUAGAUCAAGGGAACGUUCAAACUAGUAAGGUCACAGUAAUUCUAACUGAAUUAACAGGCAGCGGAAGAAUCAAUGCAACAAAAGGUACAUUUACCAAAUAACCAAUUUCACAGCAAUUAUAACACUAAGAGCUAUAUACUGAUUUAACCAAAAAGAAAGACAAGUACUCAAUCAAUCAAUUAAGAGCAAGUAAUCCUAAUUUCUAGUACAAGCAAUGGUUGCCAAGCAAUGACAAUCCUCAAUCAUAAUGAUCACCCCACACGAUGAUCUGCAGUGCGAAAAUUUAAAGGUUUCAACCAAUUUACCAGAGUGGACCUAUCUGAGUUCGUAAAGUGGAGAGAUGCGAAUUUGCUGCUUUAGGGCUACCACUAUUCGCCCUAAAGAUUCAGCAAAUAUGACAAUUCUGAUCAGUAACAAAUGUAGAUUGUGGUCAGGGGCAAAAUCGUCCAAACUUUCUUACGCAACCUGAAACACUAAACCAGACACAUUAGUACGUUCAGGAGAUUAAAAUAAAUGGAAUGGCACGAAAAAACCACGCAGGAGCUCCUCCAUGUGCCGUCGCUGGACCGCCAUGCGCCGUCGCCAUCUCCACCACGCGCCACCGCCACCGAGGGUGCCUCGACCUGUUGGUCGUGGGUUUGUCCUCCGUUCGUUCAACCGAGGUCCAAUUUGGAAGUUAUUGAAGAUUUUCAGAUCCGGUCAGAUUGAAGGAAAUGUCGAUUUCUUCAAAUUUUGAUCUGAUUUUUGCUAGAUAUUGAUAGCCUGUGCUCUGAUACCAAAUGCGAAGCCAAAAUUCAGCAAUACCAAGGUAAUACCGGGCUUAGUUUCCAACCAAAUCGAUACUACCACUGUUGAGACACACCCAACUUUCUCUUUUCUUCUUCCCACCUACGGUUGGUAUUCAUACCCACAAAGAGGUGGCCAAAGUGAGAGCAAUAUCACUCAAGAGAAACCACACAGGUUGCAAGAGAGAAAGAGGCCAAGAAUGAGCAGAGAUCGAGUCACAGAGAGAGGCAAAGAAGACGACAUAUUGGAGGCACAACGGGUCUGAGAAUUAUAGCCUAAGAGAGUGGCCAAAUAAGGUAAGUUAGGAUAGGUUAACCUUAGUGGCCCAAAAGGCCCAACACAAAGAUAAUGGGCUCCAAAUGGAUAUCGUAGCCUUCUAAGUAAAUGGGACGGGCCAUGAGCAACACCUAUUAAAAUAGAUUGUUUCUAAUGGUCCGUAGAAAAUUGGGUUGGGUCAUCUCAAUGGGGGUGUCGACAUAUAGUUCAAUCAUAUGGUCAAGGCCGACUGAAAUUAAAUAAAAUCGAGGUUACAUCAUUGCUCGGGAGACGUUUGACAACAAAUUUGCCUAACAAAAAUAACUGGAUCAAGAGAGAACAAGUGCAACAAUAAAAGAGGCAUCUAGAAUAAUUCAGAGUCACAAGGACUUGGAUAUCCAGGGAUGUAGAAUGUGGGAAGGUGGGAAAAAAAAGAAAGUUAACCAACUUAGGAUUUCGACAUCCACAAAUAGAAGGUUACUCCUGCUACGAAGUGGAACUGUCACAUAUUGCUGAUAAUGAAAACGAAGUAAACAAAUUGUUCCUAGUAUCAAGCUUUUGGAAUGCCAUUUAUAAGAGAUGCAGCGAAGCUCUCCAACACUUAGCACAUCCAUCAACAUUGAAAUGAUGACUACAUUAUUUUCAAUCCAAAUCAUACCUUCAUUGAUGGCCACUUUCAUUAGUGUUCAAGCAUUCUAUAUUUUGUUGUAGACAUUUCAAGAGUUUCAUUGGAUAGAAGCAAGGAAAAAACACAUCUUGGCAAAAGGAAUAAGCAAUUUGUCAACUUUUUUGUCAAAGCAAUGAGAUGGAGAUUCUAUUAGAAUCCAAAGCUCGAAAGUUCUAUUAGAAUCCAAAGUUCUAUUACAUUCAAAAGCUCGAAAGUUCUGGACUAGUUUUGUCAAAGCAAUGAGAUGGAGAUUCUAUUAGAAUCCAAAGUUCCGUUUUAGAGUUAGAGGAUCAAAAAUCUACUUGGCCCUCCAUUCUACAUGAGGAAGAACAAACAUUACAUAGUUUAUUGUACCACGAGUUGAGAACAAGCAAAUGUAGGCUAUAGGAUUUCACCCCUUGUAUACCAAGCUUUACAGCUUAGUGUAUACUCCCCUCACAUGUGAGGGGUCCGUGCCCAAUUAAUGCAUGGGCCUUUUCCCCCAUGUGAGGGGGUUGUAAGUCUCGGUGUACAUGUAGCUUAACCUAGAUUCUUUGCCAUUUGUUGUUUCAUAAUUAUAAUCAACAUUCUUUGACAUCACUCCCCCUUUGCAAUCGUGUGCUCUUUCCCCUUUCGUUUCCAUGUAAAAGACAGAAAAGAAAAAAAAAAAAACAAGAACCCAGUAAAAUAGAAAACAAAUACCAAAAUCUCUGAAAAAUGAACAACAAAUGAUCACCUUAGUCCCCAUUAGGCUUAGUCUAGAUGCCUCACAUAUGGGCCUUAAGACGUAAGCCCUGAUGCAUGAUUCAAGGUAAAUGCAUCAAAUAGAUAUUUGUAAAAUUGUUAUAUCAUAUAGUAAUUCACUAGAGAUGUGCAAAGGUGCCAUUUGUAGGGUUGUGUGCCCAUAUAGUAUAAUUUUGCUGAUAUAAAAGUAACAAUAUAUUUAUAUUAAAUAAAAUUAUGUUUACUUUAUUUAUUGUAUUUAUUUAUUAUUGAGCAUUUGUGAUUUGUGACAUUUGUAUUUAUUAUUGAGCAAAGGUGACAUUUGUGAUUUGUUCACAGGACUGUAAGAGAAAAUGGUACUUAAAUUAGUGAGAAUAAUUAGAGGGACAAAACGAUCAUUUAUGCUCAUACCUAAUUAUCGGAUCUCGGACGAGGAUAAAGUACAUAUACGGCAGGUCAGAGGAAAGAAUUACAGAUUUAUUGGAUUCUAUGAUCUUAUAUAUUCCAAGAGUUUAGUCUUUUACCUUUAGUGGAAAAAGCAAAGACUAAUAAUUAGAUUUGAUGGCUUAGGUCGACUAGACAGGAUUUAAUUAUUGGAGUUUGGAUAAUAUAUAUGUUCGAUCAGAUCCCCGUGGUAGCUCCAUAAAGUAUUGGAGCUUAAUUACGACAGUUAUAAUAGUUUUGGGCUUAAUUGUAAUUACAAUAAGUUUUGUACUUGGUUAUAACUACUAUGAAAGUUGUAAACUUAAUUAUAAUUCUAACUAAAGUUCUAGAACUACAUAUGUACAUAAAUGUAAAAUAAUUAGAAUUGGACUUAAAUUAAAACUCCUACUUGGAUUUUAAUUAGAACUUUUGUUUGAAUGUGGAAUUAUAAUUGUACUUAAAUUGUAUAAUCUUUUUCUCUAUAAAUAGAGACUAGAUGGACAGAAAAAUACUACAACAUUUAUAAUAUAUAAUUCCAUAGAAUUCAAAUUUAGAGAGAGAGGGAGAAAAUAUUUAUUUUCUUGCUUUCCAAUUGUCCAAGUUCAAGAAUUAGUUUUGAAAUUAAUUAAAAGAAGGUGUCCACAUGCCGGUGUAGUCUUUGUAUUGGAGAAUACCAUAGAAAGUUUGAAGGUUUGAAGCAUCAAUAUUCUUGCAAUUAAAAGGGCCAAAAAUUCGUGGUUCAAAAUCAAUUCAAAGGUUGAUAAUUGAACUUAGGUAAAAGAUUCAAAUCCUUUAAUUUUGAUAUAACAUACACGUGAACAUCUAAACGAUCUUGGCUAUUGAAUUAAAGAAAUUUUUAAUUUCUGGAUAAUUCCGAUUCCGCAUUCCAACACCAUCUUGCUAUAAUGGUGUUACCUCCUUUUUUGCUGUUGUUAUGAUAAUCAAAUUUAAACAUUGAUAUCAAUGGUUCUCCUUCAUCUGACAGCUAGAAGUCUAUUGUUUUGAGGUCAUAGCCAACUUCGGGCCAUUCUUCGUGCAAAUAGCAUAUUCCUGCUGGUUGUAAAAUAGUGUUCCUAACAAGUAAAGAUAAUUAAACACCAAGUUAGAUAUCAAUACUAUAAGCCAGAAAUUGAAUUAACUAUAUUGAAAUCGCAAGAAAAAUAAUUUCCUAACAAAUCCAUGUUCCAAGAUGCGUAGUGGAUGAUCGAGGCUCAGAUUAACCAAUUGAAAGCAACAAGGUAGCACCACACUCAAUUGGAUCCAAGAAUCUCACAAGAACUGUCAAAAGGAUCGACCAAAUCAAGCUACAAAUGAACGGACAUAAAACUGGUGCGAGGGAGAAGGUCGAAAACGGAGCAGAGUGGAGCCACAACAGAGAGCCACCGGUAUAGCACAACAGCCGAUGACCCCGAAAAGGAGGUCAAGAAAGGGCAGCCAAAGCCGGAGCACGGAGCAAAUGCUAAAAGACAAGGUAGCUAAAAGUCAGAGACAAAAGCAAAGAAGGCAGCGCAAGUAUUAUGUGCGACCGCAAUGAGGGGAGUCCACUCAUAUAAAUGGGUUCCUAGCUCAAAACUGAAUGGACCAAACAUAAUAGGUGAGUCAACCUUGCAACAAGUGAGUUCUUGGUCCGUCUUGGUUCUGGGUUAAUUGCUAUAAAUGCUUCAAUAAUUGGCACAAGGCUUAUGAACUUGGUCCGACUAGGUUUAUCAUCAUAGCCUUGGGUUUAUUUGAUAUCAAUUAUCCAACAAAUCUUCACCACGAUUUAUAAUAUUUUGAACCAAUUUAUUGAAAAUGUCAAGAUUGUCGUUUAACUCCUUUGAGGGAUUAAUUUGAAACUGGAAAAACUUUCAAGUAAAAAAAAGUUUGCUGGGUUUGGAUUGAGUUAAAUAAAGCUCCUCAAGUAUUUUCCAAACUGUUUCAGCAGUUUCAUGUUUGCUAACUUUUCAGAAAAUAUUAUCAAAUAAGUGUAGCAUAAUAGAGGAAUAAGCAACUUCGUCAAUUCCUUUUUAUGAUCUUCAAUCAUAGUUGUAGCAUAAGCUACAUCAAUUACUUUUGAAAUUUUUUGUUAUACUAAAAUUUUUUAUAUCUUUUGUUACCAAAUAGAAAAAUCACUUUUAUCGUUAAGGAUAUCCAAGUCAAAAUAGUGCACAGACCUCUGAAUAGAUAAUACACGUAGCAUGAAAACAACGAACAAAGAGACAGCCACACAGAGAAUGUUCUAAGGGUCACAAUUAUACACUGAUCUCAAUUCCCAUGAUUUUCAUGAGAUUCGAACCUGGGUCUCAAAGGAAUUGUUGAGCAAGGUCAAAGGUUAAAAUUCUAAUACCAAUAACUUAGCACCAAUAUGAAAAAUCAAACAAUGAUCAAAUAGACACAAUAAACAAUAAUAUCACGAUUUAGGCGAAUAAUCCUAAAUACUAGCAGCAACAAGAUACAAUCAUCUUGGUCACCCUACAUGAUGACCUGCCACUACAGUAAUGUAAAACUUUUUAGCCAAUUUAUCAAAGCGGACCUACUUGUAGUCCAUAACUGGGAGAGAUGCAAAUUUUUAUUUUAAAGAUUCAAGUUUCUAGCAAAAUCAUCCGUAGAAAAUCAACACAACACCGCGCUUCACGAUCAUAGCAAUUUCAAAAUUCAAUUUCAAGCAAUAAAGGAAGUCGAGAAUUGACCAACGGCCAAGUCACGACGAUCCAAAUGCUUUGAUACCGAUUUAUCAUAAAAUAGUGUUCCUAACGAGUAAAGAUAAUUAAGCACAAAGUUAGAUAUAAAUACUACAAAUACUAUAAGCUAGAAAUUUAAUUAACUAUAUUGAAAUUGAAAGAACAGCACUUCCCUUUUAAAUACACGUCCAAGAUGCAUAGUGGAUUAUUGAGGCUUAGAUUAACUAACACAAAGCAACACAACCAAUCAAGCCACAAAGGAACAUACCGAAAGGGACAAGGCCGAAAAUAGAUUAGAGAGGAGCCACAAUAGAGAGCCAUCGUUAUAGCACAACAGUUGACAAUCAACACGAAAAAGGAAGUCCAGAAAGGGCAUUCAAAGCCGAAGCAUAAGGCAAAGACGAAAGGGAGAUGCAGUCGCAAGUCAAAGAUAAAAGCAGAGAAGGCAACCAUAAGUAUUGUGUAAUGACCACAAUCAGGGAAGUCCACUUAUAUCAACUUAUAUAAGUGGACUCCCAGGUCAAAACCGACUGGGCCAAUCAUAAUUUGUAGGUCAAGCCUUAUUUGUUACUAGUGAGUUCUCGGUCUUAGUUUGGUGGGCUGCCAAUUGCUAGUUUGUAUAAUCGGUAUAAAUACUUUAAUAAUUAACACAAGGCUUAUGAACUUAGUUCGACCUGAUUUAUCAUCAUAGCCUCGAGUUUAUUUGGUAUCAAUUACCCAAUACAGUUGCAAUUCAUAGCAACGCUUUUGUCCUAUGCUUCCAUAGAGGAGCAACCCUUGAUAGCUAUUUCCCAAUGUUUUCUCCAUCUAUCCAUUUAGUGACAAUUGCCCUUAAUCUGAGAUUAUUGCAUCAAGCUAGUACUGGGGCUAUGUUUUGAUGGUAUAACUGAACAAGAAUCUUGCAUUCUCCUCCUGUUUUUCCUCGAUAUGUUUUUCCAAUAUAUCUCGAUUCUUGCUUCAUUUCUAUCUCUUAGUAUCACUUUGUAAAUACCACUUGUGGAACUCUUUGCCACCAAAUUUCUUUGGAAAACCUAUUUAUUAUUGUCUUAAGAGUGGAUAGUGUAAAGUUGUAUUUUCUUUGAAGGAACUUCAGUUGGAAAUCUGGUCUAAAAAAAACAGCUAAAUGAAAUCACCAUUCAAUACCACAACGAUUGAAAAACCAACCAAUAGAAGUACAGCCUUAAUCUUGAACUUUUUCGUGGUUCAAAAGAAGACCCGAAUGAAUGAAGCUUGUAGAGUUAAAAUGUUUAAAGAACUUCCUAUAUGAUAUUUUACACUUCGAAAAGUAAUUAUAUGAAAUAUUAAGGAAUGUGAGGUUGGGCAGGUUAUAGAAAUUUUGCACAGGCAUAUCACAAGAAAGGUAAUUGUUGGAAAUAAUAUUUCCAAAUAAAGGGAAAGGAGAAGAAACAAAAGAAUAGAAUCAAGAACUUCAAAAAAAAAAAAAAUAAUAAUAAUAAUAAUAAUAAUAAAUAAAUAAAAAUUCGAAGCUUUAAAUACGGAAUUGUUGUCCUCAAAAGAUUUUAUGACAUGACCUUCUAUCUCUUCAUCAGAGGAACUAAAUAACAAUAUUUAAUUUUACCCCUUCUUGGAUUGAAUUUGAUGUUUAAAGGGAAUCUUGACAAAUGGUUUGUAUGAUUUAUCAAGUUUUGAAAAGGAAUAAAUGCUUGAGCACCAGUAAAAUUCUUUAAAAAUUCAAUAACACAUACGUAUGAGGGUUAGAUAUCUUUCGAUUUGAAUUUAGUCGAUAGUGUAAUUCAAAUAAAGUAAAGUCGAAAUUAAAGAUAGCAUGAAAACCUUAAACCAAUCCAUGUGACAAAACAGGUAAAAAUGCACACAAGUAUCAAGUGUUAUCAAAUUCCUCAACUCGCUUAGCGCUAAUAUGGCCUCGCGCUCGUCCCUUUCAACAAACUUUUAAAAGAAAAACUCUAACUUUCUAUUAAGGCUGCACCACCUCGAACUUCAUUUAUGUGAAGUUCUUCUAGUAUCUUUUUUACUUUCAGAGAUACUUGUACUUAGUACCAACUUUAUUAAGAGUUUAAAGCAGUCCUCACUUGAGUAAUAACUAGCGUUAUAUAAUUAGGAUAGGUUAUCACUAAUUGUAAUGCUGAAAUUAUCCACAUAUUGAAUGACUUGCUGUUACCCUUUGAAUCUGUGGAUUAAUUGUUAAGUAAUGACGAGAAAGGCUGCCAUCAUUGGCGGAUCUUUUAGUUUAAGAAUUUCAACCACAUUCUAUUUAAAGUAGAUAUUACUAAAUCUCUAUCUAAAGAUUUCGAUAGAGAUUUAGUAAUAUCUACUUUAAAUAGAAUGUGGUUGAAAUUCUUAAACUAAAAGAUUUAGUUAGAGAAUCUGCCGAGUUUUCUACUGACUUAACAUAAGGAAAUUAUUCCACUCUUGAACAAUUUCCUUUUGUAGUUAUGUCUUAGACUCAUAUGUCUAGACUUUCCAUCGUAUACCUCAUUGUAUACCUUUGCUAAUGUAACUUGAUUAUCACACAUGAUAGAUAUCGAAAAUAUAUCGUCGUCCCAAAGGUAUCUCAUAAAGUAGAUCCUCAAGCCACUCAACUUCUUUCUUGGUAUCUGUUAGCACUACAAAUUUAGACGCCAUAGUUAAGUAUGUUAGACACGUCUAUUUCUUUGAUUUUCAAGAAAUAAUACCUCAUCCUAGAGUAAAUACUCAACCCGAAGUAGAUUUACUCUCACUUGUACUAAAUAUCUAACUAGUAUCGAUAAAUCUUCUAAUAUAGCAAAAUAUUUAGACCUAGAACCCCCUCUGCUUAUGUCGAACGGAUGGAUUCUUUGUUUUUAUUUAAAUAGUCAAGAACUCUUUCAAUGACCUUCCAAUAUUCUUUGCACGAUACUAUUAAACCUAUUGUGCUUACUAAUUGCAAAUACUAUAUUCGAUCUUGUGCAUUGAACUGCAUACCCUAGAUUUCCUAGAGCACUUGAAUACUCCAAUUGAGCAAUUUCUUUUCCAUCGUUUUUCAUAAGUUUUAAACUUGGAUCAGGAGGGAUAUUAAAUUCUUUUAUGUUCAAAGGUUUGAAUUUAUUAAUCACAUUCUCAAUAUAAUGCGACUGACUUAAGAAAAGAUCCCACUAAUUUUUGUAACUUAAAUAAACAAUAUGGUAUCCAUUUGUCCAAAAUCUUUCAUCUUGAAUGUGGAACAUAGAAACCUCCUCACUUCUUUGAUUCCAUCCAUGUGUUUAUUCAUAAUCAACAUGUCAUUAAUAUACAAGCAAAUGAAGAUUACAUAUCCAUCACACACUUUGGAAUAGAAGCAUUUAUCUACAUUAUUAUUUAUGAAAUCAAAUGAAUUAAUAACUAAGUGAAAUUUCUUAUGCUAUUUCUUAGGUGCUUGCUUUAAACUAUAUAAUAAUUUCACUAACUUGCAGACUUUAUAUUCAUUUUCAAGCAAAGCAAACAUUUCAGGUUGUUCCAUAUAAAUCUCCUCAUCGAGAUCCCCAUUUAAGAACGUCACCUUAAUAUCCAUUUGAUAAACAUGCAACUCAUGUAUAGAAGCUAAUGUGAAUAAUAUUUUAAUUGAUAUUAUUCUAGCUACGAGUGCAUUAUUUCAAAACAAUCCAUUCCUUUUCUUUUGUCAAUAACUUUUUGCUACUAAUAUAGCAUUAUAGGUAUUAAGAGAACCAUCAACAUUAUAUUUUCUCUUAAACACCCAUUUACAUCCAAUAGAUUUGGAUCGGGUGGUAAAUCGACAAGUUCCCAUCACUUUGGAGCGACUACCAUUACCCAUGUGAAUCUCUUGAUUUCCUUCCAUUUCAUAAUAAGUCUUGAUUAAAGACUUAUCAUUUGACACAUGUACAGUUGCACAUAUAUCAUAUUACUAAUCGGUAACCUUUCCCUUAAUAGCAUUGAUCUUAUCAUGGUAGCUACAAUAUUACUUUCUUUGAUGGAGUUCACUUUUUCUUCAAAGUUAUUUUUAUUUUUAAUUUUUUUUAUUAUUUCGACGUCGACAUUCUUUUGCAUAAUGUCCAUAUUUUUGACAUACAAAGCAACCUCCCUUGGUUUCUUCUAAAACUUGUAAAAGUUUUUAGAAGGCUUUCUCUUGUUGGAUUUGUUUGAAUAUUCAUUUUUCUCCAUGGCAUUGGCCUUUGAAGUACCUUCAUAAGAAUUGUCAUUAUUAUCUCUUAUCCUUGACUCUUUCUAAAUUCUAAGAUAUUUCUACACUUGAUCGUCUUCAACUUGUUGACAAUUACUUACAAUUCAUUCACUUGGGGAAUAAGGAGAAUAUUUUCAAGGAAUUUAAAAUUAAAAUAUCAUGAUUUGAGAAUUUUUUCUUCUUCUUUGGCUUUAUAUUUAUUUUUCAACACAUCCCAAAUAUGUUUUGCCAAAGAUGUGUUAGUGUAGAGAUCAUACAAUCGGUUGGAUAACGCAGUGAGAAUAUGACGGCAACAUAUGAGUUCAUCCCCUUGACACUUUUGUCUUUCCAUCUAUAUGGCUUCGGUAUCUUCAUCCAUUGGUUCUGCAAGUGGUGCCAAUUUGGGAUCAAGAAUAUAGAAGAUCUUUAACGCCAUUACGAGAAACUUCAACUUAUCUUGCCACUUUGUGAAAUCUAUUCCAUCAAAACGGUCCAAAUGAACAAGGUCUACAUUUAUCAACUUGAUCUUCCCCAUAAUAGUUUCAUUCUCUAUUGCAUAAUAUCGCUUAAGAUUGUUGGGAAUAUUAUUUUCAAAUAAGGGAAAAGAGAAGAAACAAAAGAAUAGAAUCAAGACAUUCAAUGAAAAUUCAAAGGCUUAUACAUGUAAUCAUUGUCCACAAACCAUAUUUACCCCAUCUCGAAUUGGAAUUGAUGCUUAAAGGGACUUUUGGUAAAUGAUUUACAGUAUUUAUCAAGCAUAAAAAGGAAUAAACACUUGAGCUCUAGUGAAAUUUUUUUAUUACUUAAGAACACAAAAAUAGACUUUUGAUUAUGAAAGAAAAGAGUAUUAAUCAUUCUCGUGGAUUGGAAUUUGAUCUCAAGUGGUUAGAACGUGUUUUUGGAUUGAUCAUUAAUAACCUAAUUAUAUAUCUCAACCAAUGUUACACGAAAUAUUGCCAAAACAUGAUGAAAGAGGCAAUUUUCCAUAAAAAAAGGACACCAGGUUUUUAACUCUAUGUGGCGACAUAGGACAAACCUAUGCAGCUGGAUAGAUUGUUCUAUGGUUAGGUGAAUACACCCUUCACGCCUACAUGUGAUCUCAUGCCUCUAAGGCCUAUGCCAAUGUUUUAGCCCUCAAUUCUAUUUUUUAUUUCACAUUCUAUUCUAUUAAUUUUGAACAACAAUUUCAACAGUAACUGUGGUUCAGAUUAAGCUUUUGAAUUGGCGAUAGUGAAACACUGAUGGGAUUUUACCUUUCAAGGA
rnacentral:lncRNA from 1 species